rnacentral:lncRNA from 1 species
AUCCUAAUCCUUAAUAAGGCCUCAAGCAGCCUCUUCGAAGCCUAUUGGAUAUAGCCUUCGACCAAUAGGAAUGAAGAUCUCCAUUCCUUGAAUUCAUCCAACCAUGCCUUGCUUUCAUCCCUCCCAAUAAUCUUCUUAAUAGUUUAAAAUUUUAUCUUUAGACUCCAACCUUCUCUUAAGUUUUAUACUAAAUAUCUAAAUCCUACAUAAUAUAAACACUAUAAUCAAAAUAAAAAAAUUCUCAAAUAAAUUUUUCUGUAUGAAUUCUCUUUAAAUUUAUUUACUAACCACUCUAAUCUAGAUAAAGACUUACAAAAAUAUUAUAUGUCUUAAUUAAUUUUUACAUACUAUAAGCAAUUAUAAUAUAACAGUGUCUUCCAUCUUUAAAAGAAAUUGUCCUUGCUAUCCAAUCAACUUGCUUAUUUUCUAUCUACAACCAUGGCAUAUCAAAGAUAACAUCAUACAUUAGCUUUAUUAUCUUGAAUCUUUCUUUUAAGAAGUAUGUGUUUGUCAAUCUCAAAGUUGCUUCUUCAUACAUCUCACUCAAUAUGUUCUCUUGGUCAUCUGCAAAGUAUAUACUUCUUUUUUUGAUUUUUUUGAUUUUAAUUCCAAAUUAAUCAAUAAUUUUAGUUGAAAUGUAAUUUUUUUAUAAAACUAGAGUGUACAAAUACUUGAUAUGAUUGUCUUCUUAAUAGUCUUGUUAGAAGCACCAAUCGACUCUUUUUAUAGUUAUUUAAGGCUAUGCCAUUUGUUUUUAAGAGACAAUAGUUAUUCCUAGUACUGACCCCUAGUACCUUUAUUGUAGAGCCUCAUUUUCUUGCUCUGACUCAUUAUCAACAUGAUGAAUUUUGAGACUGUGAACUCGCCUUGUCUUGUUGAUACUUGUACUUAGAUAUUUUGAAUAACCUCUAAUCUGAUGGCUUGGGUUGCAAUAAUAAAAAUAGAAUCCUUUUUGUACCAAUAUUUGUCAUCUUUGUGGUAUCAAUGAUCCUUGUAAGGUAUCAAUCUCUAUUGGUAUUAGUUGUUGUGCUAUAAUAUUAGACAGUAGCAUAGGAAUUCGUGCUAUAAGUUGUGUUCCAUAAUUUUUGAAAUCUAUAGCAUUAACUUUUGCUGCAAUCUGAAUUACCUUUUGGAAUGUUUGUGAAUCUCUUAGCUCUACCUUUUACUAGACUCUAAGUUUCAAACCUCAUAACAAUUAAUCUAUCAUCUUUGCCUCCAAAACAUUACUAAUUUGGAGAUAUAAAGACUUGAAUUGGAAGACAUAAACUUGCACUGACCUAGCUUAUGUAAGAUUUAUCAAGUGAUUGUAUGCUAUUUUCUUCACAUUGAUGGGCCAAAUUUUUUUUCUAAAUACGAUCUCAAACUCCUCCUAAUUACAAAAUCUAUCUUGAGCUCCAUAACUUUGAACUCAAUAUCGCUACUAAAUUGCUACUGCAUCUCUCAAAUAGUUGGCUACAUAUAUAAUCUCUUCAGUGAUAUUCAUCUAAGAUAGUUGAAGGUAUUGUUGCAUAUUCAAGACCCAUUGAUAUACAUCUACUUGUCUUAAAGUUUGAGACUAUAUAUUAGACUUAUUCAAUUUCAAUUUAGCAAAUGCCAACUCUCUUAUCUUCAAAGCUUCUAUUUUUCCUUGCAAAGUAGCUAUCUAGCCUAAUAGGUGUUGUAUUUGAACCUCCAUCUAGGAUUGCUCUCUCAUAUCUUCCAUACUAUAAUUUCUUUGCUAAAUUCCACUAUUAUAAUGCCUUCUCAAUUGAUUUUUUAAGAGAAGCUUGUAAUAGCCUCAACACAGUAUCCAAUGUGACUACAACAAAUGACCUUGGACUAAAUGAUGACUAUUGACAUGCUAUCAAAAGUAAUUAGUCUAACACUUGCUCUAAUAUCAUUGAAACAAGACUAGAUUAAAUUAAAAAUCAAAGAUCCUUUCAAUCCACAAUAAUAUAAGGUUUCCUUACAAAAUAGGAUAAAAUAGACUAAAAUAAAAAUAAACAAAACUAAACAAAAUAAGACAUGAAAGACAAAACUGAGCAAACAAAAACAAAACAAAAAGAUGUAGAACCAAACUUUAUUAAGAAAAAAGAUCCAAAGCCAUGUCUAACCAAAUGCUUCAAAAGGCCUUAGCUAAUCCUAUUUAUAUCUUUUCCUACUAUCAUAGACUUUUUAAAAUAUUCUUAGAUGGUGGGCCCUAUUUAAAUAACUACCUUAAACUCCUUUUUGAGAAGGUUCUAUGAUAGGCUCUACUUGGAUAAUCACUCUAAGCUUUCUUUUAGAAGGUUCUAUAGUGGGUUCUACCUAAAUAACCACCGUAAGUCCUUUCUAGAGUAUUCUAUAGUGGAUCAUAUUUGGUCCACUAACUUAACCUCAAUUAUAGAAACUUCUAUGGUUCUAAAUUAUCUUAUCUAUAUUUUAUUACGUCUCAAAUCUAUGAAAAAGCUUCUAACACUGACAAGCCAAAAUUUAAAUAAUAUUUAUUUAUUUAAGCUAAAGCAUUUGUGAUGACACCCAAAUAAAGUACUAUAUUUGCUAUCUAUGUAAAUCCAUAAUUAAAAUAUGUAAUUACUAUAUUAAGAAUUAUAGAAGCAUAUAAGGAUUUUGUAGAUGUAUUUGAAAAGAAAAAUGUGGACAACCUGUUGAAGCAUUGUUGUUACAAUUGUACAAUUGACCUUCAAAAAGGUGCUCAACUAUUGUUUGGACCCAUCUACAAUUUAUUCUAGAAUAAGUUUGGGACUUAAAAAGAAUAUAUUGAUAAAAAUUUAGCUAAGAAUUUUAUUUGAUAUUCCAAGUCGCCAACUGAUGCUGUGAUAUUAUUUAUGAAGAAAAAAGAUAGAUCUUUACAAAUAUGUAUUGAUUAUUGCAGUCUUAAUAAAAUCAUGAUAAAGAAUUGAUAUCCAUUGUUAUUGAUAUCUAGCCUUUUUUAUCAACUUUUCCAAGCAAAUAUCUUUACAAAGAUUGAUCUACAAGGCAUGUAUAACUUGGUACGUAUUAAAGAAGGAGAUGAAUGGAAGACAACAUUUCACACUAGGUAUGGAUAUUUUGAUUACAAUAUCAUGCCUUUUGGACUUACCAAUAGACUAGCCAUAUUCUAAAACUUAAUGAAUGAUAUAUUUUACAAAUAUUUUGAUGACUUUAUUGUGAUAUAUUUGGAUGAUAUUCAAAAAAAAUUCAAUAAUUUAGAAGACCACAAAAAAUAUGUCCGCCUUGUGUUGGAAAAGCUACAAAGUAUUGGACCAUAUAUAAAACUGGAAAAGCAUGUACUUCAUGCACCUCAAGUCGAAUUUGUUGGAUAUAUUAUUUCCAACAAAGACCUUUUUGUUGAUUCAAAGAACGUACAAGCAAUAAUCAAUUGAACAAAGCCAAAAAUUGUACAUGAUAUUCAAUACUUUUUUAGAUUUAUAAAAUUUUACAAAGUUUUUGUUAGAAAUUAUUCUAAGAUUGCUACUCUAUUUAUAUGAUUAAUAUGCAAGGACAAGUUAGACUAGGGCCUCAAAAUAAAAAAAAAACUUUUCAAAGCUUAAAAGAUGCUUUUAUAAGAGCUCUAAUUUUGAUACAUCCAAAUUUCAAUAAGUCCUAUUUUAUAGAAUUCAAUGCUUUAAACUUUGCAUUGAACAAUAGUCUUAUCUCAAUAUGGAAAAGAUGGCAAAAUUCACCUAAUUGCAUUCUAUUCAAGAAAAUUUUCAAUGGAAAAAAUCAACUACAAAAUCUAUGAUAAAGAAUUGCUUGCUAUCAUUGAUUCUUUCCAAGAGUGGCACCACUUUCUUGAAGGUACUUCCACCCAAAACUCAUGUCCAAGGUGUUGUAUAUGAAGCAUAUUCUUUGCCAUCUCCACAAUGGUCUGAUUUUCUCUUUCACGAACUCUAUUUUGUUGUGGAAUAUAAGGAGUGGAGGUCUGUCUUACAAUACUGUGGUUGUCGUUUUACUUAUUCGGGAAGAAACCUCCCAGAAUAAAUCCAUAUAUGGAAAUUCGAACACAAGGAAAGACCAUGUAUAUGAGCUCCAAUUAUUAGGGUCAUGCAAUAAAUUGCUACUGCUGAAUGCUUACCAUACCGAAGAACACUUAACUUUUCUUCCUACUGUCCACUCUCUCAUAUCAAUACAAUAACAUCUACAACAACGAUUUCAGUACCCUGUGUAAUUCACAAACACACAAGCAUAUCCCAAACCCUAGAACAAACAACUUCUAAUCCACAGAAUCUGAUCAAGAUAAUUCCUUCAAUUACAAUUUCUCUCCACUGAACUUAGAACCUUGCGAUAAAUAGUGAUUGGAAACUUUCGUACAUCCUCAAUUUUUCACAACAAUUGAUAAACAAUGAUCCAUAAAUAACUUUGUAAAUCAAACAUUAAUUCAUUAAAUCAAUUUUCUUCACUAGAAUCAAUACUAAUACAAAAGAAACAAGAAAACUAAGAAGAAGAGAUAGCACCAAGCUUAUCCCUGGCUCAGUACUAUCGUAGUCUGGCCCUCGGCUCAUGACUAUCACAGACUGGCAUUUUCUUCCCCUCUCCCAUUCUCCUUAUACUACCCUGAGAUAACAACUCCUAUAUUACAGAUGAUAACUACUUUUCUUGACUAUUCAUCCAUUCUACCUGCUAAACCACCUUUUCAACAGUUAUCUAUCCCUGUUUAUACUAUACACUAGAUAUCUAUAUUUUGAAAAUAACUACUUAUUCUACAUAGCACCACUCCAAACUAUGCAGCGUCCCCGCAAACACAGUAUUGAUAAACAAAAACCAAUCCCUUUUUUUUUUAACUGGAUUGUUCAAAAACUUCGAUUUCUGGCGCUGGCUCCAUUUGGUCUUGUUUCAAUACUAUAUCUUCUUCCUCCGACUUGUUCUAAAUCUCUGUCCUUAAUUGAACUGUUAAAUCUUUAUUAUAUGCUCCCAAUUCUCAAACCUGAGCUUCUAAUUGGAGGAUUUUGGCAUCUUAACUUUCAAUUAUUGCUACUAUUGUUACAAUUUCUCCUCCAAUUUUCCAAUUCUUACUCCCGUUGAGGCAAAUAUCUGUGACUGAUCAAUACUGACCAAAUCACUCUCCAAUUUCAUUACUGUUUUCUUCAAAACAAAAUUUUUUACCUGUAGCUCAUUCGUAUUGUUUUGAUAUUGGUCACCCAAUUAUUUCUUUUCAAGCUCCUAUGCCUCCUUCUCUCGUUCCAUCUUCAACUAAGCGUUCAUCUUCUCAUGUUCCAAUCUAUACAAUUUGUGAGUUUGUAAUAAUUCUUGCUUUUGAUUUUUUUGAAUACGUUGAAUCCUCUAUUUUUCUUUUGACAAGUUUUUCACUUUUUCAUCCAAUUCACGUUUCACUCAUAUCUUGGAUUUUGAUUCUACCUUGAUGGCUUGUUCCUAUUUUCUGAUUUUAUAAUUUUACUCCAAUAUUAUUUUCUUGCUCGCUUCCACUUGCCUUUUUAAGCUACCCUCAUCUUUGAGCUUACUCACCGUAAGUUGCAGUUGGAAAAUUUGACCCAAUAUAACUUAUUUAAGAUUCUACCCUUCCGUUACACUCCGUUCUAACCCUAAUUGGUUGCUUUUCCUUGGAACUGGUAUUGGUGUCAUCAUCUCUAUUGUCGGCCGAAUUCGAACUUGCUCUAGUGUAGAUAUUGGUCUUGCUUUCCGUUCUCCUGCUCUGUUGGAUUCUCUCACUUCAUACACCAUUAUCCCUGGACUAACUGUUCCUAUUUGUAAACUUGGAACUACUGGUUGAGAUUCAUGUUUCAAUGUAUACUCAAUCACUAAGUUUACAUAAUUGGAACAUAAUAGUGAAGCAAACUUUCCCAUCUUCCUCUUAGCUCCCAUUUCUGCAUGUAUCCUUGUGGGCACAUAAGCUGUCCAAUUGAAUACCAUACCUUCUAGUAUUCCUAUUGCGGAAAACAACAAUCGCUUCACCAUGUAGGUGGUAUGCCGAUUCAAUGCUAAUUGCUUCUGAAUGAACUGCAUCCAUUCCAUAAGUUCGGGCAUAAGUGCCUCUUGUAUCUUCCAUCCUUAAUUUCACUUGAGAAACGACAUACCUCCUUUGAAGUAGCUCCCUAGCUUGAAAACAUUUGAUGCGUCUCCUCCCACCUCAAGCUCUCCGGUUGGUAAAUGUAAAAUCUUGUGUAAGAUAUUCUCAUCUAUCUCAAUCAGGACUCCUCUUACCAUACUCGAACAAUCCUCUGAAUCAUAAUUUUUUAUAUAUUUUGCCACUCAUUCUACAUCAAUUGGUGGUAGUUUAUCCAAUCCUCGCAAAAACGUAAAUAAUUGUGCAUUUCUAAAAACUUUUUGUAUUUUUAAUGACCAACAUAUAUCUAACUUCAUCGGUUCCAUGUUGGUGAUAACUAUAAGAGACGGUGUCGUGUUGUAACACGAGUAUACCGUGAAAAUAUAAAGAAAGGAGACUUUUAUUAAUGUUCACUUACCUUGAAUAUUGAGAGCAACGACCAAUUUCAGUGCCAAUAUUCAAGGGCCAGUUCAGACACCCCGUCACAGUCGGUGAGGGCAUACUUACCAGUAACGAAAUGCUCUGUUCCAGUCCAAUAGUGGGAGUCAACAGAAUUGAAAGGACUAAAUUGAUGACUGAGCGAGCCUGACGCGAAGGACCAAUUUGACCCAAUUACGAGAACAUCCAGAUUUUACUAUGGGCCUCUUAGCCAAUCUAACGCGAAGGACCAAUUUGACCCAACUAUGGGAACAUCCAGGUCUUAAUAUGGGCCUCUUAGCCAAUAUGAAACCUAAUUUGGUUGGAUGACUCAAUGUGGUCCCGAUUACAGGGGUUUCGAUUCCGUUUCAGACUGUCCUGUUCUUUGUGCUAUUUCAAGGAAAAUUUUUUCUAAAAAAAGAACCUUUUAAAAGGUAGAAAAUAAAAGAAAAAGCUGUGACGGUGGAGCCAAUUCCAGAUCCAUGACUAGGAUUAAGAUGAGAGGCUAGGGUUUGAAAGAGGAGAGAAUUAGGAUUAAAGGGGAGAAUAGAUUAAGAAAUUAAGGGAAGAGAAUCAAGGGUUUUAAGGAUCGGAGAACUAGCUUCAUGCUUUGGAGGAGGAAAAAAGACAGAGAAUUAAGGUUUUUUUUUUCUUCAUAGGGUUUUGGGAAGAUGGAGGCAAUCAUUGCUGAAAGUUAGUGUUGUACUGGUGAAUCGGGGUUUUAAUGAAGUGGAUGUGAUUACUCUUGACUGUUUUAUAAAAUCAAAGUUAUGUCUGUGAUUGAAGAAUUAAAAAGGUGUCUAUAGGAUUGAGUAUGCGGAGUGAAUGAAAAUUUUUGGGUUAAUCUAACAAGACAGUCAGUAGAUACAAGGUCGUGAGUAUAAAGCGGUAUUGGAGAUUAACAAAUUGGAUUGUUCGGGGUUCUCUGUAAUGUCUAGAGACCUAUCGAUUGGGGCAAAAAAGAAUUUCAACGAGCAGUGAAAAGACAUCCAUAUAGAUUUAUGGUAUAUUCUUGUAAUCGUUUAUAUUCUAACAGUCAAAAACCAAUAGACUGCUUGAAUAUUAGCGAAUCUCUAUACUACCUCCUACAGCGAGAUGUUCGGUGCAUUCACGAGCAGGAAAGCACGUAAUACGACACAAGUGGUGAACCCGACGUGAAAGCUUGAGGUGGAAGGUAUUAGAUUUCGUUUGAUUUUAUUUUUAUUUUUAUGAAGAAUGAAAAUAAAAAUUUUGAAGGAUCUUUGGAAGGAGUUUCUGGCGGGGGUUCUUCUAAAGGACAAGGUAUGCAUAUGGAUCCAUCUAUUGCUAAUAUGUUUCAAGCCUUCUCAUUAUCAAUGCAGCAAUAGCAAAGCAAUGAUCGAAAAUAAGCUUUGGCAACCAAAGCAUUGCAAGCAGUGGUCAAUAAAAUUGAUCAAUUUGAUGGAAGGAAUAUUUUAAGGUAUUUAAGAUGUUAUGUUCGUGAAAUGGAAUUAAAUCGGAUUUCUGAGAAGAAAAUGGUUGAAUUAUUUGGACUUGCCACGAUACCGAAGAUAAGAGACUAUAUUACAUCGAUUACGGAUCGUUAUGGGAAUUCAUGGGAGGUUUUUUCACAUGCAUUGAAAGACGAAUAUUUCUUGGAAGAUGUUGAUCGCAUUACUGAGAAGCUAUUUUUGGAAUGGAUUGAACGACCUAAUAAGAAUUUGUAAGCAAUAGAGCUACUAAGGGAAUUUGAGAGGCAAUACUCUCAAUUAUCGAAGGUAGAAAAAUUGACAUUGGAGCCGAACAAAGUUGAUCUAUUUCUUCAAGCUGCUGAUGGAGAAUUGCAAGGGAAAUUAGAACUCCUUCUUCAAGACAAAGAAGAAGAUGAAGGAUUGACAACAAAGUGGAAGAACAUUGAAGAUGCGAUGGGGUUGCUUGCAAAAAGAGAAAGGAGGAAGGAUAGGAGUAAUAUUCCGAAAAUAGUACAAGCAUCCAAAGCUCCAGUACGUACAACACCACCAACAAUGCCUACAGUUCAACCUUCGACAUCCUUAUAAAAGAAAGCAGAUAUGGGGAUGGAAGAAAUUAUACGAGGAAUAUAAGAUCUUCAAAUCAAAUUAGCAAGACUUGAAGAGAAUACUUCUACAAAUAAUUUGAAGAAUGUUUUAAAACAAGGAUAUUGUCAAGGACAAGGACUCGAUGAAAAAAUAGUUCAGACAAGUAAGCCUUCACUCAAAGAAAAGUAACAAAAUAUGAAUAAUAAGUAUGUAUAUUGAAAAGAGAAAUUAAAAUGGCUAUUACCAAAAGACAAGAAAACUAGAGACCCUUGAAACUAGACUAAAAGCAAGAAAGGAGUUGACAAGAGUGAAGAAGCCUUCACUCUUGUCUCUAUAUAUACUAUCUAACUAGGGGCUACGUGGUAAUGUUCUAUAGGACCUCUAAUAUGUGUUGACUUUGUAGGACACAUGCCUUGACUUACAAGGCAAGUUUUUCUACGUGUGGGCCACAUAGUUAGCUUAAUCUCCAAGCUAACAACAUGUGUGGCACAUGGCCAACUUGUUGACCACGUUUCUAAUCCAAAAAGUCAAUUAAAGACACCUAUGAAGUCAAAGCAACGUCUAAGAAGUUUCUAGGAAGCUUCUAUAUUAAAUAUUAUAGAAUUAACUUACUUUUAUCUACUUUUAGUUACUUCUACCUAUUCCUAUAUGUAAUUAUUAGCUUACAUGAUUAUGGCCGUGACAUUACCCCCCCUUCUAGAGACGAGUUCCACGAGGAGCGGUCAUCAUAUGUUGAAGAAAUCUAUGAUGCGGCAAAUUAUAUUCGCCACAUAUUCUGAUCUUUGUUCUCUUCGAAGAUGAUUGAUAGGGCCUCUCAACCAUCGGUAGUGUCCCAUACCAGGGCGGGAAGACCAUCCAGUUAUUUGAUCAUUGUUGAGGCCUUCGUAACUUCCUUCGGAUAGAAUAUUUGGAACACCAUCUCGAGUUGUUCCUACCUCUAGCAAAAUCACCAAACAUCGGGAGUCCCUUCCCAAAUCGUGAUACCAAACGCGUUGUAUCGCACCAUCUAUUUGAGGAAGAACAUGUCGUUUUUGAAGAUCUUCAUCUCGAUUGCGUCGUCUUGAAGGUUGUGACAAUCGUAAUGUCUCGUCCGGUAGGUCAGCAAACAAAGGUUCUUGAGUUGAAUCUGCUGGUUGUUGGCUCUCCAUCUAAUUAGCGUCACAAAUGCAAAGAAGUUAUAAACAAGGAUAGGAAAUUGAAUGUUAUCUUGCCUCAAUCUUGUCUCUUUUAUAAGAGAGAUUUUCAUCUUGGUUUCGAUGGAUGUCGUUGAUGAAAAACUUUGACUUUAGCUGAUGCAUUUGCUAGAUUCCUGGAUGGCUCCCAUGUGCGUUCACUAAUAUCAUAUCCGCGCCAAUGAACAAGAUAUUCCAGCUUAUUUCGAAGUCGCCUUGAGUCUAAUAUCUCUUCCACCUCAAAUUCUUCAUUAUUAUCUACUCCUAUAGGAGGCGGUGGCAUUUGUCUUCUUCCUUGUAUAUCCACUGUCUUAUAUGAUUCAAGAAGAGAUACGUGGAAUACAGGAUGGAUCUUCAUUGACUCCGAUAGAUGUAACCGAUAUGCAACUGGGUUGAUCUGUUCAGAAACAGAAAAGGGGCCAAGCCUACGAUAGUCCAACUUGUCACAAGGUCGAGUAGUCUUGAUAUUGCAACGAAGUAGCCAUAUCUUAUCACCCACGUUGAUUUGUGGUUGCUUCUUACGAUAUAGAUCUGUAUUUAUCUUUUGUAGUUCUUAAGCUUCCUUCAAUUGCGUCUUCAUUAUUGCAUGUAACUCUGACAACUGAUUUGCCAUAUCUUCUGCUGCAGGAUUAUCAACUUUUGAAAAAUCAAAAGUAUCAAGUCGUGGAUGAUAGCCAUAAUUGGUAAAGAAAGGUGUUUGUUGCGUGGAAGAAUGUACCGUAUUAUUAUAAGCAAACUCUACCAAUGGCAGAAGGGUUGUCCAAUCAUCUUAUUGGUAGUUGAUAGUACACCUUAAAUAUUGCUCCAAGACUUGGUUUACGUGCUCUGUUUGUCCAUCAGUUUGAGGAUGGAAAGCCGAAGAUAGCUUUAUGUCCACUUUUAAAAUCUUGAAAAAGGUCCUCUAAAAUCUUGACACAAAUUGAGUUCCCCUAUCUGAUAUGAUAUCUUUAGAUAAUCCAUGAUAGCGAUAGAUAUUAUCAAUGAAAAGCUUAGCUGUUUCUUCACCUGUGAUAGAUUUUGUACAUGGCACAAAAUGUGCCAUCUUGGUGAAACAAUCUACUAUCACAAAUAUAGAAUCAUAAGAUCUUGAGCUUGAAAGAUCUAUGAUGCAAUCCAUAGAAACAGAAGACCAUGGUUGUUCUGGUAUAGGUAAUGGCUGAAGAAGUUUGUAAGGUCGAUGAUGAGGAAUUUUUGAUCUUGAACAAAUAUCACAUGAUUGUACAAAGUCUUUGACUGACUUCCAUAUUUGUGGCCACCAAAAAUCUCUUGAUAUGAGUUCCAAAGUCUUAUUAUAUCCAAAGUGCCUUGCUGCUGGAAAGUCACGACGUGCUUGAAGAACACGAAAACGUUGUCAUAUUACGUGCUUUCCUACUCGAGAACGCGCCGGACGUCUGGCUGUAGAAGGUAGUAUGGAGAUUCGUCGAUAGUCACGCAGUCUAUCAGUUUUUGACUGCUGGAAUAUAAACGACUGCAACAAUGUACAGUAAAUCUAUACGGGUGCUCUUCGACUGCUUGUCGAAGUCCUUUUUGCCCGAGCCGAUAGGUCUCUAGACGUUAUAGAGAACCCCGAACAACCCAAACUGUUAAUCUUCAAUACCCCUUUGUACUUACGAUCUUGUAUCCACUGACUGUCCUGUUAGAUUAAUCCAAUAAAUUUCAUUCACUCCGCAUACUCAAUCCUAUAGACACCCUUUUAAUCCUUCAAUCACAGACGUAACUCAAUUUUACAAAACAGUCAAGAGUAUUCAAAUCCACUUCAUUUAAAAAUCCCGAUUCACCAUUACAACAUUGACUUCAGCAGCGAUUGCCUCAGUCUUCCCAAAACUCUAUGAAGAAGAAAAAUCCAAAUUCUAUGUCUUUCCUUCCCCGACCCGAAGCAUGAAGCUCCUCUCUCUAAUUCCCUUGAUCUUCCAAAAACCUCCAAUGAAAAACCGAACUGGUAACCUUGCAGAAGCUUGAAAAAUCCUUCCCCCCCGAUUUCCCCUCAAAAAAAAAACCUCACACCCUCCAAAACUAUAUCCCCCCUAACCUUAUCCUCUGAAUUUCUUCAAUCUUCCGUCUUAGAUCCGGAAUUGGCUCCCACCUCAAGCUUGGAUCCGAAAUUGGCUCUCGCCGUCAAGCUUUCUCCUCCGUUUUUUCCUUUAAGAAAUCCAUUUACCGAAAACAACGUUCCCUGAGACGGCACAGAGAACAGGACAGCCUGAAACAGAAUCGAACCUCGUAAUCGGGACCACAUUGAGUCGCCCGACCAAUUCAGGUCCUAUAUUGGGAAAGAUGCCCGUAGUAACCUAGAUGUUCCCGUAAUUGGGUUAAAUUGGUCCUCGCGUCAGAUUGGCUAAGACCCGUAGUAAGACCUGGAUUUCCCGUAAUUAGACUGCAUUGGGUUGACCGACCAAUUCAGGUCUGAUAUUGGAUAAGAGGACCCGGAUUGGAUUAUCGAAAUUGGAUCCAAUUGGCUCCUCGAACCCGUCAUGUGAAUUGGUCCUUCUCUUCCUGCUAACUCCCGUUAUUGGAAUCGAACGGGGCAUUUCAGUAUGCUCCGGCUGACUAUAACGGAGUCACUGAACCUGACCACUCAGUAUUUGUACUGGAGUUGGUCGAUGCUCCCAAUAUUCGAGGUAACUGAAUAUUAAUAAAAUUCCCCUUUCUUUUUAUUUUCACUAUAUACUCGUGUUACAACACGACAUCCACCCCCUCUGAACCUGUGCAUCCUCCGGUAUGCACCAAUUUACCCAAUUGCUGUUUGAUUCAGAAUAUAUUCCCUACGUCUUUGUCCAGUUCGUCUUCGUCACCUUCAUUAUCCAUAUCACUUUCAUCUUCUUGCUGCGGAAUCUCUGUACCUUCAUUAAGGUCUUCCAUAUUCAUCUCUGCGUGUCUUCGUUUAAAUAUUUUUACUCUCUUCCCUGCAAUUGGUAUUUUCAAUUUUGUACCAUCUAACUCCCGUAAUGAGUAAGUCGCAUUAUCAUGAACAGUUGUUACAACAUAUGGUCCAAACCAACGUUUUGAAAAUUUCCGCAAAGUACUAUGUUGAUUAUCCAGACUAUUGUCAUAAACAAGUACCCAGUCACCUUCCUCGAUUGCUUUUGGUCUCAAUCGAUGUUGCUUAUCGAAUCGCGCCUUGUUUUGUAACCUUGCUCUUUUUAACCUUUCCAAUGCUAUUUGGACAUCUUCCGUUCUUUGCUCCAAUUGUCGAAUCCUAAUAGCCAGAAGUUCUUCUCUUGUCAAUCCAUCUUCCCAUGGUAGCAUACUCCAAGUAAGUACCUUUUCUUCAAUCGGCAUAAUUGGUUUUUGACCUGUCAUAAGUUCUACUGGCAUAUAUCCUGUCACCAAACUAUGUGUUGUUCGAUCAGCCCAUAAUACAAAUGACAAAAGCCGUGGCCACUCUUUAACCUUCCCAUUACAAGCUUUAACCAAUGCUUUUACAAUCGGCGGGUGACCGCGUUCGCUUUUCGCAUUCCCUUCCGGAUUAUAAGCAGUAGUCAGUGAUAGUUUAACUCCACAUUUUUCAAAGAACCUACGAGCUUCUUGUGCAUUUAAUUCUCCACGAUCUGCAGUGAUUUUUCCUAUGCACCCGUAAUGGCAAAUGACAUCUUCAAGCAAAAACCUACAAAUCCCCUCUGUAUAUUUCGUCCUCAAUGCUCUUCCUUCUACUUGAUUUGAUAAAUCUUCACAAGCUAAAACCAAAUAUCUCAUCUGCCAUAACCCAACUGGCAUAAUAACCAAAUCAACAACCCAUUUAAAAUGAAUAGCCAGAGGAUACGUAGAAUGAAGACCGUCUUGAUGUAAAAAUCCAUAUGCUUUUUUUCUUAUUUGUUUGAAUUUUUCUGUAGACCAAUUCCCCUGCUUAGACAAGGUAUUCAAAUAAUGACCAAUAUCCAAUAAUUCUCCUUCAUAAGCUUCUUCAAGAAAUAGCUGGUCUUCUCUGUUGAGAUUUGAUAUUGAAUAGAAUUUCAAUCCGACAUCAUCAAUGUCUUCAACCAUUUCGUCCUCCCUCUCGUAUCUUGCUCGAGAUAGCAUGUCUGCUACUAAAUUGUCCUUUCCAGUGAUAUGCUUAAAUUCUGGAUUUAGUGACUUAAUAUAAGCAAUCCAUCUCAACAUUGCAAUAUCUGGCGUUGAACAGUUAAUAAUCAUUCGAAGCAAUGGCAAGCAAUCUGUUUCAAUUACUACUAUUGCCCCAAUCAAAUAGUCCUUUUCAGCUUUCAUAGCCGAAACGACUCUCCAAAGUUCUCUUUUUACUUGCGAAUAUGCACGCUGACGAAUACUUAAAACUUUAGCCCCAAAUCGAACUGCAAAUCUACUCCCAUUCGAAUCAUCUUGACCCACUGCCCAUCCAACGGUAAUUGGACUAGCGUCUACAGUAAGAAUCACUGGUCUAUUGCACUUAUAAUCAACCUUCCUCAAUAUUGGAGGUGACAUCAAUAAUUUCUUCAAUCUUUGCAUUGCCUGAAUAUGCCUUUCUUUCCAUUCAAAUCGGUAACCCUUGCGUAACAGUUCAUAUAAUGGAUCCGCUAUGUGAGCAAAAUGAGGGAUCCAGAUUCGAUAAAAUACACAUGCACCCAAAAACCUGCGAACCUCUGUUAAAGAACCACAAUCCUCUUUCAUCCUUCCAAUUGCAUCAACUUUAGUCGGAUCUGGUUUUCUUCCGUAAGAUCCGCAUAAAUGUCCAACAAUUACAACCUCUCGCACUCCAAAUACGGACUUCAUACCCGAUAAUGUAAGAUGAACUUCUCCAAGCCGAGUUAAAAUCUUUUCACAAUCUUGUAUAUGAUCAACAACAUAUCUGCGACACCCCCUCGUAUCUAAAGUUUCAUCCUUGUCUCCUUCUCUGCACCCCUUCAUAGGAAUAUCAUUCAGAAAAGGCAUAGUCUUUUCCGGGAUAAAAUCUCUCAAUACCUUAUUCAUCCCAUUCAUCAUAUGCGCAAUUGAGUUGGUCGCGCCUUGAGGAAGAGUGCACAUUCUAACCAAUCCAAGCGGUGUCCUCAUCGUUGUCAUAUCUCUACUUCCUUCGGCAAGUUGAAAUUGAGCAUAACCUGAAUACAAAUCACCCAUUGAAUAGAUCGCCCUUCCAGCAAACGCCUCAGCAAAUUCAUCCACAAUAGGUCCAAUUCCUGCAUUCCUGACAGUUACAGCAUUCACCGGCUGCAUAUCUUGAAUAAACCGUAGUGACCCAUUCUUCUUAGGUACCGUAAACCAUCGACUAGAAUACGGCGCAAAUGAAGGUUCUAAUAUUUUCAUCUUUAUCUUUUCUUUCAAUAGUUCGACCAAUUUAGGUAAAUGUGCCCUUGGUACUGGAAUCGGCCUUAGAUUCUAAGGUACAUGUGGUACAAUGAAGAUAACCAUAGGUGUUAUAAUAUUUGGAUCUACACACCCAAUUUCAUGAGAUUCGAAGGCAAACGAUCUACCUUGUUUAGCCAACAUCUUUUUGAAGCAAGUAAUUUCCUCCGGCAAUAAAGAACCAUCAGAACCAAUCUUCAAUUCUUCAAAAGUCUCUUCAGUAAACUGAUGUCCAAUACUCAUUGGAUCUCUUAAACUUGCUUCUUUUGAUGCUUCUCCCAUUUGUUCUUUAGAAUCCUCUGGUAAUGGUCCGGCAACAGGCUUUACCUUCUUAUCUGCCGUUUUAUAUCUCGUCUCUACUAUGACUUCUGGUGCUUGAAAAGAUUCAAGCAUGGUAUAAACCUCUCUCGAAUGAAUCUCAACAAUCUUAUCAUUAUCCCCUAACCCAAUAGAUGUAAUCAAUUCCAAUGAAUCUACCAGCCCAUUUUCUUCAUAAACACCCAAAAUCCUCUCAUCAUCUUGCAAUGUACCUAUCUUGCGUAACUGUCCUUCAAUAUCAUAUAAUCUUUUUCUUUCUUUUCUUUUAAAAUCUUCAACUUUCUUAUACAUAAUAUUUCCAUUCUCCAAUAUACCAAUAAAACUCGCAUCAAAGGCACCUUCAUCUCGCGAGAGUACCUCCUCUUUUGUACCUCCAUAAUCUUGCUUUACAGUGGUACCUCCCCAAAAUCCUUAAAUCCUUCAACAAUCUUUGGCAAUGGUUUCUCCCUCAACCUAUCUCGAUUCCGUUCAUGGUUAGGAGGUACUGUUAGAAAUUGUACAGCUUUCCUCCCAUCUUCGCUCCGUACCCUUGCAUAAGCAGAACCAUCGUCAAGUACCUUUGUUUCUAUCCGUAUUGCCGUGAUAUAAGGUUGUCCUAAAAUCAACGGAUAAGACGUUGUAUCUUGAACGAAGAAAUGUUGCUCCGUCGCAACAUCCCCAAUCCGAAUUUUGACAUCUAGACGAGCUCCAUAUAAUUCGCCUCGUGUGUUAUUAGCUGCUCGUAUUGCCCAUCCAUGUUCCAUAUCAAUUGGCCAUUUUUGCUUCUUAUAAAGAUCUUUAGACAUGAGAUUUAUUUCAGAACCAUGGUCCACCAAAGCAACUAUUGGUUCUUCUAUAUCUCUUACCUUCACCAAUACCUUAGUAGUUGCCCUUGCCCAAUGCUUUCGAGUAUAAUGGCUAAAAGUUUCCAUUUCUUUGUCACUAGAAUCUUCGAAACGUACUCGCUGAUUAUACCCAUUCUUUUCAUUUGUUGGUUGCUUGUAACCAAUAUCAACCUCUUCUUCAUCUCUACAUAUUCUUGCACCAAUAGCAUGACUCAUUCCAGUUUCGCUCAUUAAUUGCCUCUUUCGCUUAAUGCUGUCAAUGAUAACAUCAUGAAACUCCUUCUUUGCAAUUCCCAAGACUUCUUUCAAUGUGAAUUCCACCUUAGCGUUUAAUAUACGUUCUUCCAACACCCCUUUCAAAUUUGUUGCCGCUUCAAUGUCAGAAAGUAGCUUAUAAGCAAUUGAUUUGCCCUUAUCUUUUGUCUCCGUUGUUUUUCCUGCCAAUGAUGCUAAGGUAUCCUUUACAGGCAAUUCUUGUGAAGCUGCCUCCCGAGCCUUGUCUCCUCGAGUUUGCCUCUUAAAAGAAUUUCCUUCUCUAGUAUAAUCAAAAUUUCCUUGUCUUUUUUCUUCCAUCAAAGCUUCAUAUUGGCUCUUAGCAAUAUAUGCAUGAACUGAAAGAGACUCAACAGGAUCCUCCCAACCUGUUCUUCCUCGUAUUGUAGCUGCAGUUCUCAAUAACGCUUCUCGAGGUAAUUUCCCUUCUUGCAUUGUAGAAACGGCAGAAGCCCAAAACUCACUAGUUUCCGUACUUCCACCAAUUUCAUCAUCUACUCUAGCACCAUAACUUGCACUUUCUCGUACUACUGUUUCAUACUCUUUUAAGUAAUCUUGAACCAAUGCUCUCAUUCCUCCCUUGCCAAAAUUGGUUUGAAGAAGAUCCUCCCUAUCUUUCAAUGCUAUCUUCCCAUCUUUCCAGCAAAUAAUUCCCUGCCGUAUCAUAUUAUUAAAUUCAUUGCAAUCUUUUCUAGUGUGUGAAGCAUCAUCACACCAAAUGCAUCUUUGUACAUAUCCUUGUUUUGAAACAUUCUUCGAAUUGUUUAUAGAAGUAUUUUCUUCAAGUCUUGCCAAUUUGAUUUGAAGAUCUCGCAUUCCUCGUAUAAUUUCUUCCAUACCCAUAUCUACUUACUUUGACAAGGAUGUCGAAGGUUGAACUGUAGGCAUUGUCGGUGGUAUUGUACGUACUGGAGCUUUGGGUGCUUGUACUGUUUUCAGAAUAUUACUCUUAUCCUUCCUCCUUUCUUUUUUUGUAAGCAACCCCACCGCAUCUUCAACGUUCUUCCACUUCGUUGUCAAUCCUUCAUCUUCUUCUUUGUCUUCAAGAAGGGGUUCUAAUUUCUCUUGCAAUUCUCCAUCAGCAGCUUGAAAAAAUAGAUCAACUUUGUUCGGCUCCAAUGUCAAUUUUUCUACCUUCGAUAAUUGAGAGUACUGCCUCUCAAAUUCCCUUAGUAGCUCUGUUGCUUGCAAAUUCUUAUUGGGCCAUUCAAUCCAUCCCAGAAACAGCUUCUUAGUAACGCGAUCAGCAUCUUCCAAGAAAUAUUCGUCUUUCAAUGCAUGUGAAAAAUCCUCCCAUGAAUUCCCAUAAUGAUCCGUAAUCGAUGUAAUGUGGUCCCUUAUCUUCGGUAGCGUGGCAAGUCCAAAUAGUGCAACCAUUUUUUUCUCAGAAACCCGAUUUAAUUCCAUUUCACGAACAUAACAUCUUAAAUACCUUGAAAUAUUCCUCCCAUCAAAUUGAUCAAUUUUAUUGACCACUGCUUGCAAUGCUUUGGUUGCCAAAGCUUCCUUUCGAUCAUUGCUUUGCUGUUGCUGCAUUGACAAUGAGAAGGCUUGAAACAAACUAGCAAUAGACGGAUCCAUGUGCAUACCUUGUCCUUUAGAAGACUCCCCACCAGAAACUUCUCCCAAAAAUCCUUCAAAAUUUUUAUUUUCGUUUUCCAUAAAAAUAAAGAUAAAAUCAACCGAAAUUCAAUACCUUCCACCUCAAGCUUUCACGUCGGGUUCACCACUUAUGUCGUAUUACGUGCUUUCCUACUCGAGAACGCGCCGGACGUCUGGCUGUAGAAGGUAGUAUGGAGAUUCGUCGAUAGUCACGCAGUCUAUCAGUUUUUGACUGCUGGAAUAUAAACGACUGCAACAAUGUACAGUAAAUCUAUACGGGUGCUCUUCGACUGCUUGUCGAAGUCCUUUUUGCCCGAGCCGAUAGGUCUCUAGACGUUAUAGAGAACCCCGAACAACCCAAACUGUUAAUCUUCAAUACCCCUUUGUACUUACGAUCUUGUAUCCACUGACUGUCCUGUUAGAUUAACCCAAUAAAUUUCAUUCACUCCGCAUACUCAAUCCUAUAGACACCCUUUUAAUCCUUCAAUCACAGACGUAACUUGAUUUUACAAAACAGUCAAGAGUAUUCAAACCCACUUCAUUUAAAAAUCCCGAUUCACCAUUACAACACUGACUUCAACAGCGAUUGCCUCAGUCUUUCCAAAACUCUACGAAGAAGAAAAAUCCAAAUUCUAUGUCUUUCCUUCCCCGACCCGAAGCAUGAAGCUCCUCUUCUCUAAUUCCCUUGAUCUUCCAAAAACCUCCAAUGAAAAACCGAACUGGUAAGUUUGCAGAAGCUUGAAAAAUCCUUCCCCCCCGAUUUCCCCUCAAAAAAAAAACCUCACACCCUCCAAAACUAUAUCCCCCCUAACCUUAUCCUCUGAAUUUCUUCAAUCUUCCGUCUUAGAUCCGGAAUUGGCUCCCACCUCAAGCUUGGAUCCGAAAUUGGCUCUCGCCGUCAAGCUUUCUCCUCCGUUUUUGCCUUUAAGAAAUCCAUUUACCGAAAACAACGUUCCCUGAGACGGCACAGAGAACAGGACAGCCAGAAACAGAAUCGAACACCGUAAUCGGGACCACAUUGAGUCGCCCGACCAAUUCAGGUCCUAUAUUGGGAAAGAUGCCCGUAGUAACCUGGAUGUUUCCGUAAUUGGAUCAAAUUGGUCCUCGCGUCAGAUUGGCUAAGACCCGUAGUAAGACCUGGAUUUUCCGUAAUUAGACUGCAUUGGGUUGACCAGCCAAUUCAGGUCUCAUAUUGGAUAAGAGGACCCAGAUUGGAUUAUCGAAAUUGGAUCCAAUUGGCUCCUCGAACCCGUCGUGUGAAUUGGUCCUUCUCUUCCUGCUGACUCCCGUUAUAGGAAUCGAAUGGAGCAUUUCAGUAUGCCCCGGCUGACUGUAACGGAGUGACCGAACCUGACCACUCAGUAUUUGUACUUGAGUUGAUCAAUGCUCCCAAUAUUCAAGGUAACUGAAUAUUAAUAAAAUUCCCCUUUCUUUUUAUUUUCACUGUAUAAUCCUGUUACAACACGACAACGUGCUUCUCCUUCUGGAACAUAUAGGCGUCCUUCAAAAUAUAAUAGAUUAUUCUUGAACUCGAGCUUAGAAGAAUCAUGAGACUUGGAAGAAUUAUUCUCGAUAUCAUAAACAAGAGGGUCUGAGGACAUACUGGACUGGAUUUACUUGAAAAAAGUUGAAUCAACAGUCAAUGUUGAUUUCAUUGCUCGGAGAUGAAAUUGCUGUGGUUUCAAGAGGAUCGUUCUUUGUUGCUCAAAAGCAGCAUCUCCUUCUUUUGGUACAAAAUAAGAACGUCUAGAUAGGGCAUCAGAUAAACCUUGUUGUUUUCCUGGCCGAUAAGUGAUAAUGAACUCGAAUCUUGACAAAGACAUACUCCAACGAGCUUGAUGACGAUUCAACACGCGUGCUGACAUGAAAUACUCGAGGUUCUUGUGAUCUGUAUACACAGUGACUGGACUAGAAGCGCCUUCUAGAUAAUGACGCCAUUCUUGAAAGGAAUCCACGAUCGCAAGAAGUUCUUUAUCGUGGAUCUCAUAAUUGAUCUCGGCUGCUGAGAAUUUUCUUGAAUGAAAAGCUAUUGGAUGAAGUUUGUCAUCUGUUCCCAUUUGUGAUAAAACUGCACCCAAGGCAAAAUCUGAUGCAUUUGUUUCCAUAAAAAAUGCCUUGGAAAAGUCAACACGAUAUAAGACUGGUGCAGAGACAAACGAUGUCUUCAAGGCUUCAAAUGCUGCUUCCGCUUCUUGAUUCCAUUGGAAUUUAUCUUUACUAGUCAAGCGUGUAAGUGGAGCUGCAACUCGUGAGAAAUCUUUGAUGAAGAUCCGAUAAUAAUUGGCAAAUCCCAAGAAACAUUGAACAUCUCUUACUGUCCUUGGAAUCUUCCAAUCCAUGAUUGUUUGGACUUUCUUAGAAUCCAUCAUGAGACCAUCAUUUGAAAUGAUGUAUCCUAAAAAGUAAACUUGAGUAGUGUGAAAUACACACUUUUCCAUCUUGGCGUAUAAUCCUGCAUCUCUAAGUUUUUGUAAUACUUGACGAACAUGUAUUUCAUGUUCUUCGACGUUCUUAGAAUAGAUCAGGAUAUCGUCUAGAUAGCAGAUGACAAAAUUGUCUAAGAAUUCAUGAAAUACAUCAUUCAUGAGAUGUUGAAAAGCAGCUGGUGCAUUCGUGAGUCCAAAGGGCAUGACAUUAUAUUCGAAAUGUCCAUACCUGGUUCGAAACGCAGUCUUCCAUUCAUCUCCUUCUUUGAUCCGUACUAGAUUAUAUGCUCCUCUUAGAUCUAUUUUUGUAUAGAUCUUAGCUUGAUUCAACUGGUCAAGGAGUCCUGAUAUCAAAGGUAAUGGAUACCUGUUCUUGAUUGUGAUCUUAUUGAGUCCUCGAUAAUCAACACACAUUCGUAAAGAUCCAUCUUUUUUCUUUACGAAUAGAAUUGGAGCUCCUGCUGGAGAUUUUGAAUGGCAUAUGAAAUUCUUCGCUAAAUUCUCGUCAAUAUAUGUCUUGAGUUCAGCCAUCUCAUCUUGCGAUAAACUGUAAAUUGGUCCAAAUGGUGGCUGAGUUCCUUCCUUGAGGUCGAUUGAACUAUCAUAUGGGCGAUGCUCAGGAAGAAUAUCUGCAUUUUUUUUCUCAAAAACGUCUUGAUACUCCUGAUAUUGACUUGGAAUGCUACUUGAAGUCUUUACGUUUUCAGAAAUAGGUGCAGCAUAAAUAGCAAAAGUUAAUCCUUCUUUUGCUGCGUAUAUAAAUGCUUUUGCACCUAUCAGUACGGGUUUUACUAUACUAGACUUAUAAUUUUUUACUUGGUUGGUAGAACUAUUAAUAACGCUCUAGGAAAAGUCAAGUUUACAUAAAUUCCAAUCUAUUCAAGGGUUAUAUUUUUCUAGCCAAGAUAAACCUAAAAUAACUGGAUUGGAUGGAGAUUUAAUUAUGUUAAAAGCUAUGUAGCUAUCAUGACCGUCUAUUGUUACUUUUAUAGGAUGAGUUUCAUGAGUGACAUCUCCAUAAGACAAGGGACGACCAUCUAUGACUUCUACAUGUACUGGUUUAGGUUUCUGUACAAAGUGUAUUUUACGACUUUUAACAAAUUGUUCAUCUAAAAAACAUGCUGAGGCUCCCGAAUCUAAUAAAGCAGAGGCUUUGUAAUUCUUAGGUCCUAAAUAUAAGUCUAUUAUAAAACAAAGAGAGGAUUUUGAGGAGAGGAUAGGACCUUCAUUAGGAAUUGUACAAGGUUCCAGCUGCACGGUCCCUAUUGUAGCUGGACGAAUCCGUUUUCUGACAUGCUGUCUUCUUUGACCGUCGUACCCCUCAUUUUAUAGUUGCGUCUUUUCUUUGGACAAUGUUGAGCAGUGUACUUAGGUUCUCCGUAAUAUAAACAUAAUCCUUCUUGACGAUGACGAAUCUUUUCUUGCUCAGUUAGGGGUUUAAAACGUACUGCGUCAAUUUGCAUGUCUUCUACUUCCGAAUGUACGUUUGGCAAAGAUGUUGAUGUUGCCAUUGAGUAAUAACGUUGAGGUUCCCGUGAAUGAUUCUCGGAUCAAAAUUCAAAAAGUCGAUUAUCACAUUUUAUCGCAAAAUUGAUUGCUUGACUCAAAGUUUGAGGAUCAGGUAAGUUGAGCAUCAAUUUCUUUACUUCGUAUUGCAAUCCAUAAAGAAAUUGACUGAUGAGUGCAGCAUCAUCCCACUUGAUGUCAAUUGUAAGUUGUCGAAAUUGUGAAGCAUAUACUGUUACUGAGCGAUUUUCUUGUCGCAAAAUUCGGAUCUUAUUUGUUGCAACACGAGUUGCAUCGUGUUCACCAUACAUAGAUCGAAACUCCGCCAAAAAAGCUUCCAAAUUAUCCAAUAUUGGAUUUCGUUGUUCAAGAAAAGACGAAAACCACGAUAAUGCAGAAUCAGAAAGUAAAGUGCCAAUAAACCUGACUUGUGAUCCUGGAGUUGGAUAGCUUUGCGGUUGAAGUUCAAUUGCCAAUUAUACUUGAUUGUUGAACCCUCGAAACUUUGAUCUCGUACCAUCAAAUUUCUCAGGUAAGGCAAUUCUUGGUUGUCUAGUGCUUAUAGGGUGUUGUACAAUUGGAAAAAGAACGUGAUUUGUUGUAGAUGUUGAAGCAGCUCCGAUCAUCUCUAUAUCCCCACUUUCUACUAUUCUUGUUCUUUCCUGUGUUGGUGAAUUGAGUUGAUGCAUCGCAAGCAUUAACUCCCUCAUUUGCUCUUGCAUUUGUGCCAUUGCACUCUUCAUUUCAACAAGCUCUGCCAUAAUGACACUAAGAAGAAAAAUUUGUUUAAUAUUGCUCAAGACAAAAGAAAAGAAAGACUUGAUAACAAAGAAGAUACUAAGAACAAUAUCAGUUUAGAAGUGGGUAAUCCGCAAACUUCUAAUACGCUUAUGUCUUGUCAAGAGAAAGGAGUAAUCCACUCUUACUCAAGAAAAAAUAAAGCUCUGAUAUUGUAAAUGUACUCUUGUUAAUCUGUCAAGGACAAGAACUCGAUGAAAAAUAAUUCAGACAAGCAAGCCUUCACUCAAAGAGAGGUAACAAAAUAUAUAUAAAUAAGUAUAUAUAUUGAAAUAGAAACUGGAAUGGCUAUUGCCAAAAGACAAGAAAACUAGAGACCCUUGAAACUAGACUAGAAGCAAGAAAGGAGUUGACAAGAGUGAAGAAGCCUUCACUCUUGUUUCUAUAUAUACUAUCUAACUAGGGGCUACCUGGCGACAUUCUAUAGGACCUCCAAUAUGUGUUGACUUUGUAGGACACAUGCCUUGACUUACAAGGCAAGUUUUUCUACGUGUGGGCCACAUAGUUAGCUUAAUCUCCAAGCUAACAACAUAUGUGGCACAUGGCCAACUUGUUGACCACGUUUCUAAUCCAAAAAGUCAAUUAAAGACACCUAUGAAGUCAAAGCAACGUCUAGGAAGUUUCUAGGAAGCUUCUAUAUUAAAUAUUAUAGAAUUAACUUACUUUUAUCUACUUUUAGUUACUUCUACCUAUUCUUAUAUGUAAUUAUUAGCUUACAUGAUUAUGGCCGUGACAAAUAUGUACAAAGAUGCAUUUGGUGUGAUGACGCUUCACACAUUAGGAAAGAUUGCAAUGAAUUAAAUAAUAUAAUACGGCAAGGAACUAUUUGCUGGAAAGAUGGGAAGAUAGCAUUAAAAGAUAGGGAGGAUCUUCUUCAAACCAAUUUUGGCAAAGGAGGAAUGAGAGCAUUGAUUCAAGAUUACUUAAAAGAGUAUGAAACACCAGCAUGAGAAGGUGCAAGUUAUAGUGCUAGAAUAGAUGAUGACCUUGGUGGAAGUAUGGAAACUAGUGAGUUUUGUGCUUCUGCCAUUUCUACAAUGCAAGAAGGAAAAUUACCUCGAAAAGCGUUAUUAAGGACUGCAGCUACAAUACGAGGUGCAACAGGUUGGGGGGAUCCAAUUGAGUCUCUUUCAGUUCAUGCAUAUAUUGCUAAGAGCCAAUAUGAAGCUUUGAUGGAAGAAAAAAGACGAGGAAAUUUUGAUGAUAUGAGAGAAGGAAAUUCUUCUAAGAGGCAAAUUCAAGGAGACAAGGCUCGGUAGGCAGCUUCACAAGAAUUGCCUGUAAAAGAUACCUCAGCAUCAUUGGAAGAAAAAAUAAGGGAGACAAAAGAUAAGGGCAAAUUAAUUGCUUAUAAGCUACUUUCUGACAUUGAAGCGACAACAAAUUUGAAAGGGGUAUUGGAAGAACGUAUAUUAAGCGCUAAGGUGGAAUUCACAUUGAAAGAAGUUUUGGAAAUUACAAAGAAGGAAUUUCAUGAUGUUAUCAUUGACAGCAUUAAGCAAAAGAAGCAAUUAAUGGACGAAACUGAAAUGAAUCAUGCUAUUGAUACAAGAAUAUAUAAAGAUGAAGAAGAGGUUGAUAUUGGUUACAAGCAACCAACAAAUGAAAAGAAUGGAUAUAAUCAAUGAGUACAUUUCGAAGAUUAUAGUGAUAAGGAAAUAGAAACUUUGAGCCAUUAUACUCGAAAGCAUUGGGCAAGGGUAACUACUAAGGUAUUGGUGAAAGUAGGAGAUAUAGAAGAACCAAUUGUUGCUUUAGUCGACCAUGGUUCUGAAAUAAAUCUCAUGUCUAAAGAUCUUUAUAAGAAGCAAAAAUGGCCAAUUGAUAUGGAACAUGGAUGGGCAAUACGAGCAGCUAAUAACACACGGGGCGAAUUAUAUGGAGCUUGUCCAGAUGUCAAAAUUCGGAUUGGGGAUGUUGCGAUGGAGCAACAUUUUUUUGUUCAAGAUACAACAUCUUAUCCGUUGAUUUUAGGACAACCUUAUAUUACAGCAACACGGAUGGAAACAAAAGUACUUGACGAUGGUUCUGCUUAUGCAAGGGUAUGUAGCGAAGAUGGGAGGAAAGCUGUACAAUUUCUUAUAGUACCUCUUAACCAUGAACGAAAUCGAGAUAGGUUGAGGGAGAAACCAUUGCCAAAGAUUGUUGAAGGAUUUAAGGAUUUUGGGGAGGUACUACUAUAAAGCGAGAUUAUGGAGGUACAAAAGAGGAGGUACUUUCGCAAGAUGAAGGUGCCUUUAAUGCGAGUUUUAUUAGUAUUUUGGAGAAUAGAAAUAUUAUGUAUAAGAAAGUUGAUGAUUUUAAGAGAAAAGAAAAAAAAAGAAUAUAUGAUAUUGAAGGAGAAUUACGCAAGGUAGGUAUGCAGCAAGAAGAUGGAAGUGAUUUGGAUAAUGAAGGUGACAAAGGCAAACUGGACAAAGAUGUAAAGAAUAUAUUAUAAAUCAAACUACAAUUGGGUAAAUUGGUGCAUACCGAAGGAUGCACUGGUUCAGAGGGGGUGGAUGUCGUAUUGUAACAUGAGUAUACCAUGAAAAUAUAAAAAAAGGGGACUUUUAUUAAUGUUCAGUUACCUUGAAUAUUGGGAGUAAUGACCGAUUCUAGUGCCAAUAUUCAGGGGCCAGUUUAGACACCCCGUCACUGUCGAUCAGGGCAUACUUACUAGUAACAAAUUACUCCGUUCGAGUCCUAUAGUGGGAGUCAACAGAAUUGAAAGGAUUAAAUCGAUGACUGAGCGAGCCUGACAUGAAGGACCAAUUUGACCCAAUUACGGGAACAUCCAGGUCUUAUUAUGGGCCUCUUAGCCAAUCUGAUGCGAAGGACCAAUUUGACCCAAUUACGGGAACAUCCAGGUCUUACUACGGGCCUCAUAGUCAAUCUGAUGUGAAGGACCAAUUUGACCCAAUUACGGGAACAUCCACGUCUUACUAUGGGCCUCUUAGCCAAUAUGAGAUCUGAUUUGGUCGGGCGACUCAAUGUGGUCCCGAUUAUGGGGGUUUCGAUUUUGUUUCAGGCUGUCCUGUUCUAUGUGCUGUUUCAGAGAACAUUGUUUCCGAAAAAAGAACCUUUUAAAAGGCAAAAAAUGGAGGAGAAAGCUCUGACAGCAGAGCGAAUUCUGGAUCCAAGACUAGGGUUAAGAUGAGAGGCUAGGAUUUGAAAGAGGAGAGAAUUAGGGUUAAAGAAGAAGAUAGGUUAAGAAAUUAAGGGAGAAGAAUCAAGGAUUUUAAGGGUCGGAGAGUUAGCUUCAUGCUUUGGAGGGGGAAAAAAGACAGAGAAUUGGGGUUUUUUUUUUCUUCAUAGGGUUUUGGAAAGACGGAGGCAAUCAUUGCUCAAAGUCAAUGUUGUACUGGUGAAUCGAGGUUUUAAUGAAGUGGGUGUGAUUACUCUUGACUAUUUUGUAAAAUCGAAGUUACGUCUGUGAUUGAAGAAUUAAAAAGGUGUGUAUAGGAUUGAGUAUGCGGAGUGAAUGAAAAUUUUUGGGUUAAUCUAAUAAGACAGUCAGUGGAUACAAGGUCGUGAGUAUAAAGCGAUAUCGGAGAUUAGCAGAUUGGGUUAUUCGAGGUUCUCUGUAACGUCUAGAGACUUAUUGGCUGGGACAAAAUAGGAUUUCGACGAGAAGUCGAAGGACAUCCAUAUAGAUUUACGGUAUAUUCUUACAAUCAUUUAUAUUCUAAUAGUCAAAAACCAAUAGACUUUUUGAAUAUUAGCAAAACUCCACACUACCUCCUAUAGCCAAACGUCCGGUGCAUUCUUGAGCAAGAAAGUACGUAAUACGACAACGGUAAUCUCAGAUUACACUUAGACCUCACAUUACGGUGACUUUUCAAUCAUUUUGGUGCUCUCUUUGUUCUUUUUAUCGACAUUGUGAAAAUCAAACUCUCAAUACUUCCUCGCACUAAUACUAUUGUUGAUUACUGUCGUAAAACUUACAGUUCAAAGUACAAUGUCUGAAAUUUGCAACAAUGAAACUUUCUAUGAAUGCCCCGCUCCUAACAACUUACUCGAGGUCCGAAUCAAAAACAUCUAAUCUAGUGUAACUUAAUCUCAUGUCUUAUCAAGAAUGUCUAAUUUCUUGACUAGUUAGUUUCAGUAUCCAAAACUAACCAUCAAUCAUUUCCUAACUAUCACAACCUUUCCAAUCCUGUCGGUAAUCAAUAUUACAGAGACUUCCUCCCUCCACUGAGUAAAUCUAUCCCAGAUUUAUGUAUAAUACAGACGUAACCUGUUUCUAUUAACACGUAAAGUGAAGUGGGUUCCCAGAAAAUCUUUCAAUUGAAUGGAACUAAUAGGGAAACCUUCCACCACCCGAUAUGGUCCAUGCCAUCGUACUUGAAAUUUAUCAAGAAAGUUGUUAAAGUGGCUAUCAUAAAGUAGCACCAGAUUAUUGGACAUAAAAUAUUUCAGCCGUAACUUAUUGUCAUAAUAACUCUUUCUACAGCGCUGUAUAGCUUCCAUGAUCAAGAGAGCCCUAGCCCUAACUUCAUCCAAUUUCUCCAAUUGGACUAACCUAUAUUGAAGAGAGUCUCUGUCUCCCAAAUGUUCAUCCAACGUAAUUCGUAAACUUUGGACUUCCAAUUCAAUUGGUAGAAUUGCCUCCUGACCGUAUACCAAUUGAAAUGGGAUAGAAUUGGUAGUUACUUUAUAUGCAAUAUGGUAUGCCAAUAAAGCUGCAAAUAAUUUAGUAUCCCAAGCAGUUCCCGUUUUUGAAAUAGUCUUUGUUAAGAUCUUGCAUAGAAUACCAUUUAUCUUUUCGGUCCGCCCAUUGGCUCAUGGAUGAUAAGGUGUAGUUUUGUGGUGCUUGAUUUCAUACUUUGCUGUUGAUGCUUCAAUUGUGGCAUUAAAAAAAUAUAUAUUGCAAUCACUAAUCAAUUCUUUUGGACAACCAAAAGGAGCGAUAAUGUUCUCAUAUAAAAAUAUUGCUACGAUAUUGGCAUUAUCAAUUUUUGUUGCCAUGGCCUCCGCCCAUUUGGUGACAUAAUCGGUGGCUACUAGAAUAUAACAUUUAUAUCCAUUUUAAGAGGCAGGUGCAAUGGAUCCAACAAAAUCAAUUCCCCAUUUCUCAAAUGGUGCCUGUACCAAGAUUGGUACUAACGGCAUCAAUGAAGUACCCAUGGGUCGACCAAUUCAUUGACAGGGAUCACAACAAUGAACAAAUUGAUGCGCAUCAGAAAACAUUGUGGGCCACCAAAUAACCAGCCAUUAAAGCCUUGCGAGUAGUACUGUCUCUCGCAAAAUGUCUACCACAACUAUCCAAAUGACAUCCUUCCAAAAUUGUAUGAACUUCACUUUGAAAGAUGCAACGGUGUAAAAUUCCAUCCCGCCCUUGUUUGUACAAGGCAUCUCCAAUCAUGGUAUAUGGCGCACUUUUUAAAAUCAGACGUUUCUUUAAUUUUUCAUUAUAAGAAAUGAGAAAAGUCUGAAACGUUAGAUAUUAGAUCAAUUCACCAUAUUCAGAUGUAAUAGUUGUGCAUCCAAAAGAGCAUCGUUUAUGAGCUCAUUACCCGGUAUAUUAGAUAAACGGGAUAAGUGAUCUGCAUUGGCAUUUUUCUUGCUGAGUCAAACGUUAAUCAUAAAGUUGAAUUCCUGGAGAAGUAACAUCCAUCAAGUAAUUCGUCUGCUCAAUUGAGGUUUAUUUAUCAGGUAUUUAAGUGCAUCAUGAUCAACGUGGAACACAAAUGAGUAUCCAAGUAGAUAGUCAUGGAAUUUCUGUACAAAGUAGAUCAUUCUGAGGGCCUCUUGCUUGGUAGUAUUAUAAUUUUGUUCUGCAGCAACAAAUUAUCGACUCGCAUAAUAUAUGGGAUGUUCUAAUCUUUUUUCAUCCCUUUGACUAAGAACAAAUCCAAUAGCAAUAUUGGAUGUAUCCACAUAGACAUGAAAUGGUUUUGUCCAACAAAGUAUUACAAGAAUUGGGACAGAUACCAAUUUCCAUUUCAAUUCGUCGAAUGCAAAAAUACGGUCUUCAGUCCAUAUUGGAUUAGAUCCCUCUGAUGGGGGUUUUUUAAACAAGUGGAUUAACGAUUGAUAGAUAAUCACAAAGGAUUCAAUAAAACGUCGAUAGUAGCUGACAUGGCCGAUGAAACCGCGCACGGCCGACACUGCAUUUGGCUUUGGUAAUCUCAAUAUACGAGUAAUUUUAUCGAGGUCCAUAGCGAUAUCUUCAACAGAGACAAUGUGUUCCAAUAGCUUUCUCGAUGGUACGCCAAAUUGAUAAUUCUCUAAAUUUAGAAAUAUCCCAUACUUGUCGCAUUGAUUCAAACAAUUAUCUAAGCAUGCUAGAUGUUCAACUGUUGUGCCAAAAGUGCAGAAAUCAUCCAAAAAUAUCUCCAUUGAUAAACGUAGGUAAUCUUGAAACGCUUGUGUCAUUAUCCAUUGAAAAGUAGCUGGGGCAUUAUAUAACCCAAAUGGCAUUACUUUAUUGGUGAAUGUACCCCAAUCUGUGGUAAACGUAGUCUUCAACUGGUCUUCUUCGACAAUUUUAAUUUGAUUAUAUCCCAAAAAUCCGUCCAAAAAUGAGUAACAUUCAUGUCCAACCACUGCGUCCAAAAUACUAUCUAUAAAUAGUAACGAAAAAUAGUCCUUCUUAGUAGUCGCAUUUAACUUUCAAAAAACUUGACAUAUCCUAAUUUUUCCAUUCUUCUUUGGUACCAUCACGAUUGGCGACAUCCAUACACUAUGCAGAACAGGAUAAAUAAAAUCCAUGUCGAGAAGUUUAUCCAAUUCUUCUUUCACUAAAAGAGAAUAUUUUGACUUAAGCCGAUGUUGUCUUUGACGAACUGGCAUAACACCCUCCUCUAUAAUAAUCUGGUGGUCAAAGACGUCAGCUGGAAUGCCUUUCAAAUCCGCAUACCACCACGCAAAGGCAAAUUUGUGAUGGACAAAAAAGUAUUUCCAAGCAUCCAAUUCUGUACCGAUAAUACCGACAUAUAUUUUAAUUAGCUGUGGCAUUUCGUUGAUACCCAAGUUAAUAGAUUGACACACAAGGUCUUCAACAACCUCUAAUUUAAUUGUCUUCCCCUAAUCUGAAUAUCUUAUAUUAUCCGACAUAUGGGAACCAUCCAAAUCUGGUUCCAAUGUGCUGAUUCUAUUAACUGCGGAAUUGUUCAUUCAUUCGGCAAUAGCAUGAUCCAAGUUAGUUGCAUCCUCCUGAUGCAAUAAAUAUUCGCUAGGACUUUCACAUUGGUAGACUCCUGCCUUUGCUGUUGAAGUGUUUUGUCCUACCCCAAAUUGCGGUGAACCUAUAGCAUCAUCAUCUGCCUUAAUCGAUUGACUCUCGUUGUCCGAUGUAAAUUUUGAUUCUGGCAAUUGAGAUUUUCCAUGAUAUUGUACUGGGUACAUCUGUAGAACAAUCUGGUCACGGCUUUUUUCAAUUGUCAAUGUGCCUUGACUUCAAUCGUUCUUAGCUUUGGCUUGAUAAAACCAAGAUCUAUCCAAUAAAAUGGAAUAUGAUAAUGUAGAACUCUGUAAUCGAAAUACAAUAUAAUCGAUUUUUUAUGUCAAUCUCGCGAUUACAGUGGCAAUAUUGCAUAAGAUUUCUAUUGGCUUUCUAUGACUAUGAUUUACCAUUCGCAAGACCAAUGUCAUAGGUAGCAAUUGCUUUAGAUCCAAGUCCUCUAUUGUAUCCGCGUUCAUUAAAUUUACACUGGAGCCACCAUCGACUUGUAUCCCUGGAAUUAAAAUGCCAUCGAUUGAUACAUCGAUUGUUGGUGCUCCCAGAUCUCGGUUUAAGCUAACUUCCUAAAUUUUUUUAGUGUGGGAUCUUCAUCAUAUUAACGCUAAAUUCAAUGUAGAUCGACAUUUUGAUGCUAUAGCCAAAAGUUACUUCAUUGUAAUUGAAGGCUAAAUAACAUCCAAAUCCUUCAAAAUAUCGUAGGAUUCCAUAUUGAGAGUAAUUUCCAAUGCUCUUUUGCGUUUCAUUGGUUUCGAUUUUAUUCCAUUCGACAGUAAUUCCUUCCUGGCGAUUGAGAUUACCAUUGGUGACUUUGCCAACUUUUCUACAACUAAAGAUUACUUUAAUGCGUAAGAUCUUUUAUUGAGUUGUAUAGGUAUUAGUACUUGGUCAAUUGGGAUCGAUCUCUAUGGUCUCGACAAAUUGGCACAUGGGACCGAAUUAGGUUCCUUAGUCUGUUGAGGUCUCAAUAUUGGGAUAUGUCUCAAUACUGAUAUUGGUUCGUUUAGCCCCAUGGAUGGUGCUACUAGCUCUCCUGCGAUUAGUUCAUCUAGGUCCUGAAUUGGAUUCUUAUCUUUUUGUUGGCCUCUGAUAAGUACUGCGUUCACCACCUUGACAAAAUGUACUGGUGAGUCUCGUUGAACAGAGCCUUUGUCUUCCACCGGCUGGCUUAUUUACAUUUGCUGGUCCCGAUUAUUAUAAUUAAAGGGCGCAUUGCACUGCUGAUAAGUGUAAUCAGACUACUUACAAUUUCCACAUAUUAGAGCAUAGUCAUCACUAGCCCUUGGAUUAGGACAUUCACUCGCAUAAUGUCCGAUUUGUCUGCAAUGAUAGCAACGAAGUGAUUUCUUACCAACUCCUUCAGGGAUAUUGGGUGUCUCUAUUGGUAUAUAAUGACUAGGUCUGUUUCAUGUCGGAUGAGUAAAGGAUCUUGAUUGAUCCAUUGUAACUAUAGAGUCUGGCAUUGGCUUCGUCAUAGGUGGAUAUUGAUGGUAUCCUAGUUGGUUCAUCGCCAAUCCGUGAGUAUUGGAUAUACUUUCUUGGUGAAAUUCAGAGUUUAGGAAAUUAGAAUAAUUCCUAUUUUGUUUAUUCGCUCGAUUUCCAUUCCAGCCAAACCUAUUAUUCGUUUGUACUUGAUUGACAUUCCAUUGGGUUGGUUGAGUCAUUAUCUAGUUACUGAGUUAUUAUUGCUUCCAUAAAUUCCAACAAUUGGUGGUAAUAUGCUUGCCCCCAUAAAAAGUAUAUUGUACAGUCAUUUGGGGAGAUGAAGGACAUUCUGUUACUAAAUAAUUUUGCCCCUUACAAUUGCUGCACCAGACAUUGGGAUGCAUAUUGGUUGUUUUAUGCCUCUUCUCCUUAUCUUUGACCACAUUGAUAGCCAUUUCCUCCAUUUUUUUUGUCAAAUUCAAUAACAAGGUUUCAUUGGAAUCUUUUAGGACUAGAAUUAUUGAUAUCUCUGUUGUAGUUAACACUUAUUGUUGAUACGGUGUUGGGGUAGAGAGGUUUUGCCUCAAGAAAGCACUGGGCUUCAGGUUGUCAUUAAUUACUCAAUCGAGCUUAAAAUAAGGAAACCCUAAUUUUAUAUAUAUAAGUUCUCCUUUUGGGACAAUUACACCAAAUACUUAAGUAUUAAAUAACCAACAACAUCCAAAAUAUGGUAGAAAUACACUAAAACCUUGUAUAUCCUUGUGUGGAAAUUCUCCCGAAUCUCAACAACCCAUAACUCUUGAUCCAACCGUCCAAACAAGAUCAAAAUUUACAGAAAGUACUGAUAUGUUGUUAUUAAUUUGUACAACAAAUUUCAACUGCAAAUUCGUUGCGGAUCUUGAGAUAUCUUCAAAAUCCUAACAGUCGCUUCAAAUCCUAAUCUUUGUAUACCCGUGCGCAAUUUUCUUCAUAUCUCACAAACCAUAAGUCCAAAUGCCACGAAACUUAUAUAGAUAGCUUUUUAACACAAAUUUUUACAUUCUCUCAAAGUUUGAGCCAAAAUUCGUUCGAAAACUCAAGUUAUGGCUCCUAACACUACUUUGAACAAAACCGCUCACUUACUGCCUUUGAUUUGAAUGCGCUGUCUUUAACUCCUUAUAACUCCUUCACAUAAACUCCAAAUGCAAAAUCUCCUUCACAAAAGAUGUAUGUCUUGAAGUUGCCCUUCCAGCUGCCUCUUCCGAUCUCCAAAAGCUUCCCUAAGACUCCUCUUAAACUCAAAAGAGUAACAGUAGGUCUCAAAUUGACACCUUAACUUCAAACGGCUAUAACUUAUUCAUCCUAACUCCAAACCCUAUAAAAUUUGCACAAAAAUUGUAGCCAAAAUCCUAAAAUUUACAAUCCUUGCCUCUGAUUUCCUAAUGGCUUCUUUGAAGUCGUCGAAACCCUUAUCAAGGUCGCAGGCAGCCUCCUGAAAGCCCAUUGGGCAUGGAUUUCGACCAAUGGGGAUGAAGAUCCUUAUUUCUACCUUCAUCCAACCAUGCCUUGGUUUCAUCCCUCCCAAUUAACCUCCUAUUAGUUUAAAUCUUCAUCUUUAGGCCCCUCUCUCCUCUCAAGGCUUCAUACUUAACAUUAAGGUUCUAUAACUUUUAUAUACUAUAAUCUAACUAAGUAAGGAAAACAAAAUAAAGUUUUUUUUUUUUUUUACCAACUCUUUUUAAUUUAAUAUAUUUAUCACUUUAACAAAAAUUUAGAUUUAUUAAUAUAUAAUAUAUUUUAACUAAUUUUUAUAUAUUGUAAGCAUUUACAAUAAGACAACGGAUAAUAUGGAGCAUACGCUGUUGUCACGUUCGAUGGUAUAGCUUGCAAUGGGAUGACAUUAACUAGCCCCUGAAUAUUGGUAUUGGAAUUGGUCUCUGUUUCUAACAUCCAUGGAUAACUAUACACUGAUUUAUUCCAAGUCGGAUUUUGAUAUCUACCUUGAAUUGGAAUCAUCAUGGCUCCCACAGUUAAAAACUGAUCAUAAUGGCAUUCCUUCCAAACCUUGGCUCUAUUAAGGGACGCAGCCACUGUAACGAUUUGAGCUUCCUUUACAAAAAAAUUUAGCUCUGGUGAGUGUAAACCAUUGAUUAAUAUGGAUAAGAUAAAUGCCUCCGAUAUUUGGUUAUUCAGCCACUUACUGAAUAUAUCAGCUACUCGGCCAUAAUACGAUUCCACUGCCUCCCCUAGGAUCAUUUUGCUAUUCAUUAACCUCUCUCGAAGGCAGUCUUCAAAACCAAUCAACCGAAAAUGAGAUAAAAACGCAUUCAUCAAUGCUUCCCAAUUCAGAAAUUGACCCACUUGUUGAUAAUUUUAUCAUUCAAAUGCCAUCUUUUAAGGUUGUUAGUAGCCAUCGCAACCAAAUAUCUUCAGUUCUGCCAUUAUUAGCUAUACAUGCUGUAAGAAACUGAGACAAAUGUUGAUCAUGAUCCACACCCAAAAAUCUCCAAAAAGUACAUAGUAGCGCGACACUAGUCGUUCGACCACCCACUGCACCCAUUUGUACUACAAUCGGAAUACCUGGGCCUCAUGACGCCAUUGAAUUUCUUGUUCCGCUAAACUCCAUUUUAAAAUAAUCUCUGCUUUCUCUUAUUCUAAUUUCCGAGCUCUCAAUGCUCCUCGAUUUACUAUUAUUUUUUGCAAUUAGUUUUAUUGGUUGAAUUGCAGGUGAAAAUGUCAUAUUUUGAAAUACAAUAUAGUUAUCUUUAUUGGCAACCAAUUUGUGUCAAUCUGAAGAGCCACUAUUGCUCGUUUCAGCGGUACCUCCUACUGAAAAAAUACCCAAUGGAGUACCAAAUUCUUCUAUGCCUCCUUCUCUUUCAGUUAACGGCCUCAAGAUUUCCACUUGAAUGUUAACAAAAAAUUUUGCGAGUAUUUUUGGCAGUUUUUCUAACGGUACAUACGAUUGCAAAAUUAACAGUUUGUCCAGUUUUUGAUAUGUUCAGAUGCGUCGACAAGCUUGCAACCAUGGUUUAAUCCAAUUCUAUCAAUGCUACUUUUUAAGAUUACAUUCUUGCUCUUCUCUAAGCAAAUUCCUUCCUUGUGCUCUUCCCUGUCUUUCUUUCAAUUGAUUUAUUUUCUUCGAUGCAAUGCUCUCGUUCUUAUUAACCAUAAUCUUGCUUCAAACACUAUUGAAAUCGACUUCCAUUGCCAAUUUUCUCACACGUUUGAUAAUUAAUUCCUAACAUUCAAAGCUAUUAUCACUCCCCGACAACGGUGCCAAAAUGUGGUUGUCAUUUUACUUAUUCUGGAAGAAACCUCCCAAAAUAAACUCAUAUAGGGGAAUUCAAACACAGGAAAAGACCAUGUAUAUGAGCUCCAAUUGUUAGGGUCACGUAAUUAACUGCUACUGCUAAAUGCUUAUCAUAUCGAAGAACACUUAAUUUUUUUUCUUACUAUCCACUCUCUCAUAUCAAUAUAAUAACAUCCACGACAAUGAUUUCAGUACCCUAUGUAAUUCACAAACACACAAGCAUAUCCCAAACCCUGGAACAAACAACUUCCAAUCCACAGAAUCUGAUCAAGACAAUUCCUUCGAUUACAAUUCCUCUCCACUAAAUUUACAACCUUACGAUAAAUAGUGACUGGAAACUUUCGUACGUCCUCAAUCUUUGACAACAAUCGAUAAACAGUGAUCCAUAAAUAACUUUGUAAAUCAAACAUUAAUUUAUUAAAUCAAUUCUCUUCACUAGAAUCAAUACUAACAUAAAAAAAAAUAAGAAAACUAAGAAGAAGAGAUAGCACUAAGCUUAUCCCUGGCUUAGUACUAUCAUAGUCUGGCCCUCGGCUCAUGACUAUCACAGUCUGGCAUUUUCUUCCCCUCUCCCAUCCUCUUUAUACUACCCCGAGAUAACAACUCAUAUACUACAGAUGAUAACUACUUUUCCUGACUAUUCAUCCAUUCUACUUAUUGAAUCACCUUUUCAAUAGUUAUCUAUCUCUCUUUACACUAUACACUACGUAUCUAUAUUUUGAAAAUAACUACUUAUUCUAAAAAUACCAUGUAACUUUAAAAAAUCAUUGAAUUGCUUUGAUAUAUACUCACCUCCAUUGUCUGUACACACUACCUUGAUUUUGCAUUCACAUUGCUUCUCCACAAGUGCCUUAAACUCCUUUAACCUUAAGAAAUACUAACUCGUUGCCUUGAGGAUGAAAAUCCAUACUUUUCUUGAAAAUUCAUCAAUGAAUGUGACAAAAUACCUUGCACCUCCUAUUGAUGGCAUCCUCAUAGGUCCACAAAUAUCAAAAUGGACAAUCUCCAAUAACUUGGUUAUACGUGUUGCAACUCCACUUGGAAAUGAGGCCCUUUGUUGUUUGCCUUGAAUACAACCUUCAUAAGUAAGUGUCAUAGCAUUGUGGCUUAUAUGACCAAGAUCUAAGCUACUUACCAUGGAUUGGAGCUCCUUCAUGCUCUUGGCAUUCAAAUCACUUAGGCAUUGAUGCCAAAUGCCAAACUUGUCUUAAUCUUGAGGAAAUUCAGCAAAUAUCGCCACUUCAACUCCAUUCACCUUCUUACACUUGAUGAAGUAGAGGUUGCCAUAUCUAAAGCCCUUUGCAAUAUGAUCUCCUUUUAAUGUCUUCAAAAAAUACCCAUUCUUAUCAAAUUACACUUUACAACUAUAUGAAACAAGUUUACUCACCGAGAGGAGGUUUUUCUUCAUCUUUGGCACAUGUAAGACGUCCUUCAAUCUGAUCCUCUUGAUUUGGCCUUUUACAACAAUCUCUAUAACAAUGGAAACAAUCCAAUAGCUUGUACUAUGCCAUUGUCUCCCAUGACGAUAUUUUUUGUUGAAAUCUCUUCAUAAGUAUCAAAUAAAUACUUUUAUGGAGUCAUGUGCUUGGUGGCACUAGAAUCAAUGAUCCACUUGGAUAUGGCAGCCAUGGAAGUGCCUUCACUUGCCAUGAAUGCAUAAUCAUCACCUCUAUAUUCAUCACGAGCAUUGUUUCUACUUUCUCUAUCUCUUUUCUUAGCCUUGUAGCAAUUUCGAGUAAAGUGACCUGGUUUUCUACAAAUGAAGCAAGUUCUCAUAUUUCCACAUUGGUUGGAAUGACUCUCCUUGCUUUGUCUUGAAAAGAGAGCCGAAUCAUCACUUUGGAGCUCUUUUUUUUUUCUCUUCGUCACUUCAUGGGCAAUUCUCACCGUCACAUAAUCUAUUGUGAGUUCUUUUAUUUUAAUGGAUUCCAAUGCCACAAUGAGGUAGUUGUAGGACUCAGGAAGGCUCAUAAGCAAGGUCAUGACAAUAUCACUCUCUUCUAAAGGCUUGUCAGCAAUAGUAAGUUGAUUAACAAUGGCUUUUACCUUGUUGACAUGAGCCAUGAGGUCUUCACAUUCUUCCAUCUUGCAAGUAAAGAAUUUCUUCCUUGUGAAGAUGAUAUUGGAUAAGUUCUUGCUCUCAUAUAUAUUACAAAGAGUCUUCCAUGCUUUUGUUGGUUCUUUACAAGAAAUGAUGUGAGAAAAAUUGGCUUCAUCCAAAUUAGUGGCAAUCAUGCCAAAAGCCUUCUUUUCACAUCUUGUGAAGUCCUUCCUCUCUUUAGCAUUAGCAUGCAUGCUUGGAGGCUCUUCACUUUCAUCUACAAUGUCCCAAAGGUCCAAAGGUGCCAACAAAAGCUCCAUUUUGACCUUCUAAUGGUAGAAAUUGUCACCUCUAAACUUCUCAAUCACUCUCAAACCUUCACCCUCACUUGAAGCUAUGUCUUAGAAGAGAUCUAUCAAAAAAAUAUCAAAAAAAAGAGACUUUAUGUGUUUAAAAUCACUAAAAUAAUUUUAUACUAGCAAAAUCUCAGAAUGCCUUCAUGUGAACAAAUGAAUGUUUCUUUACUCCAAACACUCCCAAAUCAACUUUUGAAGCUUUAAAUAAGUAUGUGAACUCCAAUCAACUUCACUAUCUAGUUCUUUCACUCAUAAAACUCACUUUCUCACCACAAAAUCAAAGACAAUAUCAAGGUCUUUGUAUAAGAUCUUAAUCACUCAAUCCUAGUAGUUAAGAACCUUCAAACUGAUGUAAGAGAUUUAUAAGGCCCAAAUCAGAACCUCUACAAGUCAAAACACUAGAUUAGAUCAUAGAAUCUCUAACAUCAGCAAACACCAUAAGAUCUAUUCCACACAAGAACAACAAACAACAAAUGACUUCAACUUACUUGAAUAGUACAACAAAGUGUGUAAGGGCCCACAACCUAUUGAAGAAACACAAUAAGCAAGACACAAGUAAGUAGAAAUCAACAAGGUUAGACACAAGAAAAGUGUGGAAUGAGAUACCUCUCACUUCCAACAUCCUUUACUUAUAGGUAGAGGUUACAUCCAUUUUGGCUAGUAUUCAACUUACUUUCAUCCAACUAAAUCCUAAAUUCCUCUUAAUCUAGCCACCACUUUAAAUCCUAAAUUCUUCUUAAUCUAGCCACCACAUAAAAUCCUAGCCGCCACUUAAAAUCCUAGCUGCCACUUUAGUAACUUUUUUUCAUCCUUUUGCUGCCCUUUGACCAUUAGCAAAUUAUCUAAGAUAAUAUCUUUUAUCUUCUAACUUAUCCUUCAUUUACUUUAAUAAGUAUGUCCAUAGCUUCAAAGACUUUUUUCCAAUCAGUAGUGAGUCCGUUGUCCUCUUUAUUAUCCUCUAAUAGUAAUUCCAACUCUCUUUGUAAAUCAUUGCUAGCUGAUUGAAGAAAUAACUUCACCUUAUCAUUUUCAAGUAUAAGCUUUUUCACUCGAGACAAUUGAAGAAAGUAUCUUUCAAAUUCUCAAAAUAACUCUUUUGCAAUCAACUCUUUAUUGGAUUUAUUGAUCCAUUCCAUAAACGAUUUUCUUGUCAUCCUUUUUGUAUCUUUUGAAGAAUAUUUUUCUUUUAAUUGAAGGACAAAAUCCUCCCAUUUUUCUCCAUGAAUAUAAAUAAUCUUCCUUAUAUAUUCAUGAAGCUCUGGUACAACUAUAAGCUCAAAUAUUAGGAUCAUAUCUUUCUCUGGUACUUUAUUGAGCUCCAUCUCCCGAGAAUAAUACUUAAGAUACUUCAAAAUAUUUCUUCCAUCAAAUUGAUCCAAUAAACCAACAAUAGAUUGCAAGGCUUUAGUAGCCAUUGCUUCCUUGCGCAAAUGCUUGAAAUAUUUAAAUUGUAGCAAGAUCAAGUUGCAAUGGAGAUACCUCAAUGCAAUCCCUACUACCACUUCCUUGUCCUCCUUUCAUAUUAGAAAGCCAAAAAUAUUUCUUCAAAACUCUCUAUCCCAGAAGUUUUCACGUCCAGUUCACUAGUUCUGUUGUAUGGAGUGAUUUGCUAUCUGGAAAUACACUGAGUAUCUAGUUAUAGAGAGUUUAGCUUAAAUCUUUAUAUGAAUCUUGUCUUAGCUUCUAAAACUCCUUUGAUUUGCAUAAAACUCAAAAUAUAACAAAAUCCCUUCAAAACAUAUUUUUCUCGUAAAAGAUUUUCUUGUUCCAAACUUUAGAAAUUCAUAACUCUUGAUCUAGCUAUUCAAUUUGUGUACAAUUUAUAAGGUAGGUAGAAAUCACUCUUAACUAUUACUACAAAAAAAUCAACAAUAAAUUCACUCUCAAUCUUCUGGCAUGUAAGAAACCCUAGCAGACAUUCUAUAUCCUAAUUUAUAAGUACAUGAGUACUAUUUUCUUAAUAUCUCAAGACUCCAAUACUCAAAUAUCAUCAAACUUACGUAAAACGUUUACAUACAUGAAAUUAUAUAUUUUCUAAAAUUUUGAGCUAAAAUCUUAUCAAAUUACUCAAGAUAUAGCUCAAGACACAACCACUAGUAAAUCGGGUCACUUACUACCCUUAGAUUGUAUGUGCUGACUUCAAAAUCCAAUAACUCCUUCAUCCCUGUUUAGAAUCUAGUAAGCAGUAAGUAAAAAAUAUACCUGUAAAAGUGCUCUCUCUAGUCACAAUUGCUGAUCCUCAAUUACUGUCUAUACGCAUGCAUUAUGUCAAAAAAAGUGACAAUAGCUCCCAAAUCAACAUCUUAACUUUGAGAGCUUGUAUCUCCUUCAUAUAAAUUCCAAACCAUACAAAAUUUGUACCAAAAUCAUAGCCAAAAACCUAAACUUGCUGACCUUAUCUUUUAAAGCUCAAAUGGCUCCGAGAAACUAAUCCUAAUUCCUAAUAUGGCCUCAGGCAGCCUCCUCAAAGCCCAUUGGUAAUGAUUUUGGACCAAUAGGAAUGGAGAUUUUCAUCAUCUAUAUCCAUUCAAUUAUAUUAGUGCCCUAAUUAUUCCCUUUAUAACCAAAAUCCUUCUUCAAUCUUUUUUCUUAUAAGAUUUACAUAAUUUAUGCUCUAAAAACAAAAUAAAAGAAUCAAAAUAAGUUUCUAAAGGUCACCAAUGUCUAACAAAGGUGACUCUAAAUAUUUAGAAGUUACUAUCAACCAAAACCAAUCUUAAAAGCCACUAUCAAAAGGAAAUUAAAGUUAUACAAAUUUUAUAGUAAUCUUUUAAAACAACCUCUUUUUAAGGUAAUAAUAAAAUUAUAUUCUACAACCAACCAAAAUCUAUUAACAUGGCUCUCAUCAUAUUACUUAAUAAAUUAUAUAUUAAGUACAUAAUUAUAUUAUUUUCAUAUAGUAGCCAAACCACAACACGACAUUGUAGAGAUUUAAUAGCUGGUUAUUGGUGGCCAACAAUAUUUUUGGAUGUGCACCAAUAUAUUUGAUGUUGUAAUCCUUGUCAACAAAUUGGUUGACUUAUAAGAACUUCUUCCAUGCUGUUGGUACCAAUUUUGGCACAAGUACUAUUUGAAAAAUGAGAUAUUGAUUUUGUAGGACCAAUCGCUCUAGCCUCACAUAAUGGUCAAAAAAGAUCUUUUUUGGUAGCAACCAAUUAUAUAACAAAAUAUGCUCAGGCGGUGGCAACAAAAACUAAUAAAGCCAAUACAAUAGCUUUAUUUUUAUAUGAGAAUAUUAUCUCUUAGUUUGAGUGUCCUAAAGAAUUAAUUAGUGAUUAAAGAACUCAUUUUAUCAAUUCUAUGAUUGUAGCCUUGACAGAUAAAUAUGAGAUCAAACAUCACAAAAUAAUUCCAUAUCAUCCUCGUACCAAUGGGCAAACUAAAAAGACUAAUGGUAUUCUGUACAAAAUUUUAACCAAAAUAAUGUUUGGUGUGAAAACAGAUUGUAAUACUAAGUUGUUUAUUGCAUUGUAGGUAUAUCGUACUGCAUAUAAAGUGACUACCAAUUCGACACUAUUCUAAUUGGUGUAUGGGCAAGAAACAAUAGUAUCAAUUGAAUUGGAAGUACAAAGUUUAAGAAUUACAUUGGACGAACAUCUGAGCAACAAGAAAUCCUUCCAAUUUUGAUUUGCAAAAUUUAAAAAAUUAGAUGAAGUUAGGGCUAUGGCUCUCUUGACUAUGGAAGCUAUACAUCAUUGAUGUAAAAGUUAUUAUGAUAGUAAAUUAUGUUCCUAAGCAUUUCUGUCCAAUGAUCUAAUGCUUCUUUAUAAUAGCUAAUUUAACAAUUUCCUAGAGAAAUUUCAAGUCCGUUGGCAUCGACCGUUGUCGUGUGGCGUGAUUUUCAAUCUAGGAAUAUACUAGGUAUCUAGCUAUAGAAAGUUUAGGUUUCUUUUUUAUAUAAUUCCUUAGCUCCCAUAAACAAACUCCUUGCUUUGUAUAAAAAUUCAAAAUAUCUUAAAAUUCUUCAAAAUAUAUUUCUUCCCGCCAAGGACCUUUUUACAUCAGACUUUGAAAAUUCACAAAAGCUAAUCCAACCGUUCACUUUGUUUCAAAUUUCUACAUAAGCUAGAUGCUAUACUUAACUUUUACCACAAAAAAAUUGAACCGUACAUCUAUCACCGAUCGUUCGGCAUCUAAGAAACCCUAGCAGGUGCACAAAACCCUAACUUACAAGCACCCGAAAACUAUUUUCCUUAUAUCUCUUAAACCCAAGCUCCAAAUCACACAAAACUUGUAUAGAAAGCUUUAUAACAAGAUUACACUCAAUCUUGGAAAUUUUGAGCUAAAACCUCAUCAAAUUGUCUAAGAUAUAGCUCAAAUCACAAGCACAAGUAAUUCGGGCUACUUACUACCCUUAGAUAUCAAGCGCCGACUUCAACUGCCAAUAUCUCCUUCAUAAAAGCUUGGAAUUCGAUAAACAGUAUGCACAAACUGUAGCCGAAAAAGUAUUCUCUUCAAAUCCGGUCGUCGAUCCUCGUUUGCCGUCCGUACGCGUGCGGUAUGCUCAAAAGAGUGACAGUACGUCGAAAACUUACACCUUAACUUUGAGCGCCUAUAACUUCUUCAUAUAAACCCCAAAUGACACAAAUUUUGCACCAAAACCAUAUCCAAAAACCUAAAUCUUCUGACCCUAGCCUCAAAAACUCGAAUGGCCUCGAGAAACUAACCCUAAUCCCUAAUAUGGCCUCGGGCAGCCUCCUCAAAGCCCAUUGGUCAUGAUUUUUGACCAAUAGGAAUAGAGAUUUUUAUUUUUCAUCUCCAUUCAUCUAUAUUGGUGCCCUAAUUUCUCCCUUUGCUACCAAAAUCCUUCUUCAAUCCUUUUUCUUAUAAGAUUUAUAUAAUGGAUGCUCUAAACACUAAAUAAAAGAACCAAAAUAAAUUUUUAAAUAUCACCAAUGCCUAACAAAGGUGACUCUAAAUAUUUAGAAGUUACUAUCAACCAAAACCAAUCUUAAAAACCACUAUCAAAAAGAAAUUAAAGUUAUACAAAUUCUAUAGUAAUCUUUUUAAACAACCUCUUUUCAAAGUAAUAAUCAAAUUAUAUUCUACAACCAACUAAAAUCUACUAACAUGGCUUUCACCAUGUUACUUAAUAAAUUAUAUAUUAAAUACAUAUUUACAUUAUUUUCAUAUAAUAGCCGAACCACAACAUGACACCGUAUCAUAUAAAAGAAGGUUUUCUUAAUGAUUCAAUUCUAUUGGAAGAUUUUAUGGAUAUCCAAUUUACCACAUGUAUCAAUGGAAAUCAAUUACGACUUUAUUAUACAUUAAACCAGGACAGAUUUUAAAAAUUGAAAAAAAAAAAAAAAAAAAAAAAAAAAAAACUUAUUUGUUCAUGAAAGAUUGUCUUUAAUCAUAGGUGUAUGAUAGAUAGUAAAGAUGGUUACUUGUGGAUCCUAAUACCGACUAAUAAAGAAAAUCAAAAGUAGGAUUAUGGUAAAUAAGAUCAAAGAUUCUUGAUCCAUACCUUGAAUAAAAGGUUAGGAGUAGAGUACACAAUAGUAGUUAUCUUCAAUAUUUUGUACAUUGUAGUUUGGAGCAUUGUCGAGAUAGAGAGAAUUUGCUUCAAGAAAGCAUUAGGCUUUUAGUUGCCACUAAAUGCUCAAUGAAGUCUAAGAUAUAAAAGUACCAAGUUUAUAUAUAUAAUAUUUUUUCUUUUAGGACAAUUACAUCAAUACAUAAGCCAUGUACCAAAAAAACAUCCAAAUGUAUGAUAAAGUAUCUUAAAACCUUAUAUAUUCUUAUGAGAGAUGUUUAUUAAACUUCAAUAGCUGAUAUGUCUCAUGAUAUCUCACGAUCGGACUGUCCAAUUAACUCUAAAUUUUAUAUGAAGUACUGAUAUGCUUUCAAAAACUACUAAAAAAAAAUUCAACUACAAAUUUGUUACGGAUCUUCGGAUAUCACCAAAAUCCUAAUAAUAGCUUUAAUCCAUAGCUUAUAUAUAAUUACAUGCUAUUUUCUUUAUAUCUCAUAAAAUAAGUAGUCAAAUAUCAUGAAACUUUGAUCUAUACCUUAUUAAUCUAAUAAAUCACACUACAAAAAUUGAAAGCUAAAAAUUUGUCUAAAAAAUUCAAGAUAUAGCUCCAACCAUUACCAUCAAUAAAAUGACUUACUUAUUGCCUUUGAAUUACAUGUACUAUCUUCAAUGCCUUAUAACUCUAUCAUCCAAACUUAGACUUUAUCAAAUAGUAUCUGUAAAGUAUAGCCAUGAAAGUGUUCUUUCCAACUCUAAUCGCCGAUCUUUCAUUGCUCUUUAUAUGCAUAUGUUAUGCUUCAAAGAGUGACAAUAGGUACAAAUUUGACACCUUAACUUUGAACACUAAUAUCUCCUUCAAAAAAACUCGAAAGCAUCCAAAAUCUUCACUCAAAUUAUAUCCAAAAUCCUGAACUUAUUGAAUUUAGCCCAAGUUCGAGUUACUUUGAAAGAAAAAUCCUAGUUCCUAAUAAGGCCACAAGUAGCCUCCUUGAAGCCCAUUGGACAUGGCCUUUGACUAAUAGGAACGAAGUUUUUCAUUCCUUGCCUUCAUCCAACCAUGCCUUGCUCUCAUUCCUCCCAAUAAGCAUCUUACUAGUUAAGAUUUUCUUCUUUAGGCUCUAAUCUCCUCUCAAGGCUUCAUAUUAAAUAUUUAGGUCUUAUAAUUUUUUUAAAUAUUAUAAUCAAAAUAGAUAAAACUCAAAUAAAUUUUUGUAUAUCCACUUUCUUUAAAUUAAUCUAUUAACUCUUUUAACAUAUAUAUAGAUUUAUUGAAAUAUAAUAUAUUUUAAGUAAUUUUUACAUACUAUAAGCUUUUAUAGUAUGACAGCAUACCAAUUUGGAAUGUAGGAUUUUUUUCAGAAAGAACUGAGUGUCAAUGUGAGUAAGGAGUGUGAUAAGCAAGUAUUCCAUAAUAUCCAUGAAAUGAGUGAAGAGAGCUAUAGACAAAGAUGAAAGUUGCUUUAAUGUGAGAGCUAAAGGCAGUUUGAAGUUACCAUCCUUAGUGAUUCUUACCAAUAUGGAAUCAAUGAGGUUGGAAUUCUAUUGGAAUACAAAAAGAUAGAGAGAUUUUUGAAAUGCAUAGUUAUAGCAGUUUCUAUAAUGGUCUGAUGAUUUGCCACCAAUUGAUGUAGAAUUGUUGGAAGAAUACAUAACCAAUUAUGACCCAAAGGAUGAUUCGAGUAUUGUCAAAGGGAGCAUUAUUGAGAUUGAUGAGAUUACCUUACAAAAAAUACUGUACCUUCCAAUUGGUAAACUUAGAGUAGAUGCUGAAGUAUUCAAUAAUUUUAGACUAGGAAGCUAUUUCAAAGAUGGCAUAUUAUCAUUCGAGAAGAAUCAAGGUUGGCAAAUGGUGGAGGUACUUAUCUCUAGGCUUAUAAAGUAAAUGCGUUUCAUUCAAAAGUGAUUAGGUUUAAAUUCACACCACAUACAUAUCCAAACAACUACUGUUUGCUAUGAUAGGAAUGCUAAAAGGUAUAGUAUUUAAUUGAGCAGCUUUUAUAGCAACUAAAAUCCAUGCAAAAAUGAAAGAUAAAUAGAAGAUAAGAAAAUUUACAUCUUUGCUUUCCUUCAAUUACGUAUAUUCUGUAAUUGCAUAUAUGUUGAGUCAAACAUUGCCAAUAAGGGUGAAUAAUAUGCCUUUUCUAGUACCUCAAUCAAAAUUUAAUGGCAUUGAUAACUAGUCUUGAGGUCGUGGUGGAUAAAAUUAGGAAAUCAAGUAACUUAUUGAGACACAAGGCUAUACUAGAGAUUCUACUAGAGCAAGUUUCAAUUUAUUUGAUGAUUAAGGUAGAGGCUGAAGUUCCAAUUUUGUUAGACAUCAACCACUUAGCAUUUCUAAAGGGUAGAACAUUAGAACAAGUGAAUCUCAAGGAUGUCAUAUUGGCUCAGAUUUCUCAAUUACAACUUACAAUGAAUAAACUAGAUAGGGAGGGAUAAUUAAGGUAGCAAUUAGAGGUGAACAGGAAAGAGUUAUUGGAACAAAGUUACCAAAUUAAGGAACAAGAUUGAAUUAUUUAAGAAAAUACAAAAUCCAAGUUGCAAUUAGAGCAUAAAUUGAGAAAAAAAUAAGAAGAUUGGAAAAAAAAAAAAUAACACAUUCAAUGUAUUAUGGAAGGUCAAAUACAAGACCUAAUACAAAUUUGCAAUACAUCAAUGUUGGAACAAGAAAAGGUGAUGUUUUAGUUAAAAAUAAAAUAAAAAAAGAUAGUAUUAUUAGAACAAGAAUAGCAGAUAUUAAAUGACCAAUAUAGAAUUGAAAUAAAAAAGUUAUGACCAAAAAUUGAAACCUUCAAGACUGUAGUGAAAAAAUUAGAGGUUGAUUUAGCUAGUAUUGAUUAGUCCUAAAUGUCUAUUCCACUCAUUUCCACAAUUGAUGAAUUAAAGGAAAAGGUUAGACAAUAGCAACACCAUUUGGAAGCAAAGAUGUUAGGAUUUUAUAAUUGGAGGCUCAAGUUCAUGAAUUAGAAUAGUAUCAUGAAGACUUAUCAGCCUAAUUGAGGAGAAAGCCAAUGGAAGUAUAGGAAGAAGAUGAUGACUUCUCAUUAGAAUUGGAAUCAAUGAAACAUUAUACAGAGAAUAUUGAGAUUGAUCAAUCUAGCAAACUAGAGAGUUAGAGACUUUAUAAAGGUUUCGUUGAAGGAAUUUUCUUUUACCAAAUCUAUGUUUGUAAGGAUGUUGUACAAUUAAGAGUGGAAUUAUGUGGAAUAUGUAGGAUUUUUUUGUUUUUUAAUACCUAAUAUAUAAGAUUAAAAAAAACUAAUAAACUAAUGAAUAGAUAGUUUAGCAAGCAGAAUGGAUGAUGUAGUCAAAAAAAUAGUUAUUAUCGGUUAAGUAGUAGUUGGUAUUUUUAAGAAAACAUAACUAGGUUGAAGAAGAAGUAAAAAGGGCGAAAUUGUCAUAGUCAUGAGUCAGGGUAAGCUUAAUGCUACCUCUUUGUUCUUUGUCUUCUUUGUAGAAUUAGAGUAAUGAAUAGUUUGUAAAUAUUAUGAAGUAAAAUUCUAGAAUAAAAAGAAGAUUUGAUAUAGAUGAUAUCAAAUGAGAAAUUGAAUUUAUUACAUGCUUAAUUAUAAGUGGAGGAUUGAAAAGUCGAUAAUAGAAGAUAUUUAUGAAGUAUGUAUAUAAUUGGAAGAAUUAUAAUACAUUGAAUAUUGAGAUUCAAGAAGAAGUAUGUCAAGUCUAGAAUUGUAUGAAACAGAUUAAUGGAAAUGAUAGUUAAUUUAGAGAAUUCCAAUGAUUGGAUUAUAGAAUAUUUUAUGUAGCCUUUUAAGAUAGUAUAAUAUAACCUAUAUUAUUAUAAUUUUGGAGAAGAGAAGAGACAAUGGAUAUGUAAGAUAGAAUUAUCGAUUGCAAUAUUUUCUUUGAUAGAAUUUGAAAGACAUAUAGCAUUCUUAGAUAGUUUAGUUAAUCAAGAGAUAAUUGAAUAUGUGAUUCUAAUGUGAAAAUUUAUGCAGAUAAUCUUUCUCCAUAUUUGAAUCUCUUAAUAAAAAUUUAUUCCAAUUAGAUUAAUCUAGAAUGAGUAAAAUGAUAAUCUCACAAAGAACGACCUCAAUUCCAUAUGGAGGAUAAGGUAUGGUUAUUUUGUCAUAAUAUUAAAACUAUUCAUCCUUAUAACAAGCUAAAUUAUUGUAGGCUUAGACCAUUGUUCAUUUGUGAAUAGAUCAAUCUAGUUACUUAUUGAUUAUAUCUAUAGGACUCUAUGAAAAUCCAUCAUGUAUUCCAUAUGUCUUUACUUGAGCCAUACAAGAAAAUAGAUAUACAAAGAAGGAUACAAAUUCCACCAUCUCCUAUAGAAGUGGACAAAAAUGAAGAAUUUGAGAUGGAAGAAGUCUUAGAUUCAAGGCGGCACUAAAAUAGGUUAGGAUAUAUAGUACAUUAGUACGGAUAUGAUAUUAAUGAAUGCACAUGGAAGCCAUCCAGGAAUCUAGUAAAUACAUCAGUCAAAGUUAAAGCUUUUCAUCAAUGACAUCCAUCAAAAUUAAGAUAAAGAGUUAAGAAAUUCUUUGCUAUAAAGCAAAACAAGCCCGAUGGAGAUUUUAUUCUAUCUUAUAUCAUUGUUUCUUUAGAUUUUUUAGUGUUUAGGAGAUGGAGAACCAACAACUAGCUGAUUCAACUCAAGAGCUAUCAUUUGUCGAACUAUCAGACAAGACAUUGCAAUUAUCACAACCUUUGAGAUGACAAAAUUAAAAUGAAGAUCCUCAAGAAUGGCAUGUUCUUCUUCAAAUAGGUGGAGAGAUACAAUGCAUUUAAUACCACAACCCUGGAAGAAACUUCCAAUAUUUAGUGAUACUUUUGGAGAUAGGAACCACUUUAGAUGGUAUUACUAAUGUUUUAUUUGAAGGAAGUUAUGAAGGCUUCAAUAAUAAUUAAAUAUGAGGGUGGUCUUAUUGCUAUGGUAUGAUACAUUAUCAAUGGUUGAAGGAACCUAUCAACUAACUUUAAAGGGAACAAAGAUUAGAGUAUGUUGUUGUAUUAUGGUUCAGCUACCAUGUAAAAAUAAUGUGAUUAUAUAUUUAUUAUAUAAUUUAUUUAACAACAUGGUGAAAGCUAUGUUAUUAGAUUUUAUUUGGUUAUAGAAUGUGAUCAAAUUACUACUUUAAAAAGAGGUUCUUUAAAAGGAUUACUAUUAAAAUUUGUAUAACUUUAUUUUCUUUUAAUAGUGGCUUUUGCGAUUGAUUUUAUUAGUAGUAAUUUUAAAUAUUUAGAAUCACCUUUAUUAGAUAGUAGUGACCCUUGAAGUCUUAUUUUGGUUCUUUAAUUUGGUAUUUAAGGCAUAUAUUGAGUAAAUCUUAUAAAAAAAAGAAUUAGAGAGAAAUUUUGGUAAUCAAAAGAGAGUUUAGGACAUCUAUAUAGAUGAAUGGAGAUGGAUGAUAAAAAUCUCUAUUCCUAUUAGUCAAACAUUAUGACCAAUGGGCUUCAAGGAGGCUACCUAAGGCCAUAUUAGAGAUUAGAGUUAGCUUUUUGGGGCCAUUUGAACUUUGAAGAUUAGAGUUAGAGAGUUCAAUAUUUUGACUAUGGUUUUGGUGAAAAUCUUGUAUGAUUUGGAGUUUAUAUGAAGAAGAUAUAGGUGCUCAAAGUUAAGGUAUUGAUUUGGAAACUAUUGUCACUCUUUUUAACAUAACGCAUGCAUAUGGUAUCAUAUUAUAAUACGACCACAUGGUAAAAGAUAAUAAUAUGGAUCUUAUUAUAGAAGAUCCAAGUUAAAAGAAAAAUUAAAAAAAUAUGGAUAAAAGAUAGGAAGGUAGUAAAACUUUUAGUAGUAAUGUUGUCCUUUUAAAAAAAAUAGCUUCUACUUACUUUAUAAGGCCAAAAAUAAGACAAAAUAAGGUAGAUUAGAAAAAUAAAUAAUAUGGAUAUCUUAAGAAGGAAGUUAAGAGUAAAUUCUAGCAAAAAUUACCUAGAAAAACUAGAUAUUGAUAUCCGGAGAGGGCCAGUUAUCAACCUAGGUUGAAAUCAGACUGUGAGGCAAAAAACCGAAUACCUAUGGCAAUUCGAGGGUUCUUUGGCAGAUCGGAGAGUGGGAUUUGAUAGAAAACUGAAUAUAGUUUCUAUAAGCAUUAGUUUUGGGCAAUUUGGAGUUGUUAUGACUUUGUAAGAGCUUUACAAAGUCAAGAUUGAUUUUAGAUGACUUGGAUUUUGUGAAAUAAAAUAGGAUUGAUGUUUUUAGUGAUUUUAAGAGUUUUGUAAUAGAUCUAUAGAUAAAAUUUUGUAGGUUAAUGGUUAUAGUUGUGAUUAAUAUGUGUUGUAAAUCUUAGCUCGAUCUAAUGAUUGAAUUGAGGAUUAUUGAGGUUUAAGUGAGUCAAGGUCUCAGAAAGUAGAAUUUUAGGUCUAGUGAGGAUUUUUAAGAUUUCUUGUAAUCUACUAAUUGGAUUGGAGUGAAAUUUUUGUGAGAGGAUAUUGACAUUUUUUUUCUAUGUGUAUGAGAAUUUUGAGAUCAAUCGAACGGUGAAAAAAAGAGAUAUUGGCUCUGGAAAAUUAGCAUCAAGAUUAGAGAAGGAGGCUGACUAAUAACCGAGCACGUUUUUGAGGUUAUCGUCUAUUUGGUAUUUUAAUCCUUUUCAAAAAAAUUGUGAUUAUUUUCAACUUAGUUUUUAAAAAGUUUAUAAAAUUUAUCUUAAGAUCAACAGUUCUUUUAUUAAUUAUUGAGGUUUAAAUCUAUUGUAGAAAUUACUAAGGUUUUGUUAGGAUUUGAUUUAGGAUUAGGAUUUGGUUUAGGAUUUGGUUUAGGAUUUAGGAUUUGGUUAGGAUUUGAUUUAGAAUUAGGAUUUGGUUAAGGAUUUAGGGUUUGAUUAGGAUUUGAUUUAUAAUUAAGAUUUAAUUAAGAUUUAGUUUAAAAUUUAGGAUUUGGUUAGGAUUUGAUUUAAGAUUCGGAUUUGAUUAGGAUUUGGUCUAGAAUUUAGGAUUUGGUUUAAAGUUGGUUAGGAUUUGGUUUAGGAUUUAGGAUUUGGUUAGGAUUUGAUUUAGGAUUAAGAUUUGAUUUAGAAUUUAGGAUUUGAUUAGGAUUUUAUUUAGGAUUUAGCAUUUGGUUUAGGAUUUAGGAUUUGGUUUAGGAAUUAAGAUUUGGUUAGGAUUUGAUUAGGAUUUGAUUAUGAUUUGAUUUAGCAUUUAGGAUUUUAUUUGAGUUUGUUUAGGAUUUAAGAUUUAGUUAGUUUUUGGCCAAAAGUUUGAAUGAAGUCCAAUAAGAUUUCAACUAGGAUUAAAUUAAGAUUGAAUUGAGAUGUAUUCGAGAUAUGUUUGUAAUUAUUCUAAAUUUUUUUAAAAUUUUCUUAUUGUUUCUUUAGAAUUCCUUUAGAAUUUCUCUAAAUUUGAUUAAAGCUUAUUUAGCAUUGUUAGUGUUCUAUCAGAAUUAGAAUUUUGUUGUUGCAAUUUCUAUUCUACUUUCCAUAGCCAAGUGCCCAAAGCAUUCUCAAGCAAGACUUCACGUAUUACGACAACAGAGAGAAAUUGAAGAUCAGCAAUCGCAACUAGAAAGAGUACUUUUAUGGCUACAUUUUUUGCAUAUUGCUUCUUGGAUUCCAAGGUGGAGUAAAAGAGAUAUUAGAUUUUGAAUUCAAUGCAUGCAAUCUAAGGGUAGUAAAUGACCCGAUUUACUAGUGGUUGUGUCUUGAGCUAUAUCUUGAGUAAUUUGAUAAGGUUUUAGCUCAAAAUUUCAAAGAAUGUAUAUAUUUAUGUUAUUAAACUUUGUACAAAAGUUUGAUGAUACUUUAUUAUUAGAUUCUUGAGAUAUUAAGAAAAUAGUAUUCAAGUGCUUGUAAAUUAGGAUUACUUAGAUGCCAAAAGAUUGGGAGUGAAUUUUUGGUUGGUUUUAUUUUAUAAAACUUAAGAAUAAAUUCUACCUAUUCUAUGUUUUGAAGGUAUUUUGCUAUAUUUUGAAUUUUAUGUAAAAUAAAAGAAUUUUGGAAGCUAAGGCAAGAUACAUAUAAAAGUUUAAAUUAAAUUCUCUAUAGCUAAAUAUCCAGUGUGUUCCCAUAUAGCAAAUCAUGUGAUAUGAUAAUGUGGCAAAUACAAUUUGGCGCAUCUUAGACUUCAUCUACAUGUAAUCACCGCUCUUCAUGGAAUUCAUCUCUAAAAAGAAGAAUAAUGUCAUAAACAUACAUAUUUAUCUUGAUAAUUAUUUAAAUAAUAAGAAUAGAUAGAAGUAAGUCAAAGUAGAUAAAUAUAAUAAUAUCUUAUAGAAAGCUUCCUAGAAGCUUCAUAGCCACUGCUUUGCCUUUAUACAUAUCUACAAGCAAUUGAUAGGUUAAAAAAUUAGCCAACAAAGAGGCCACAUGUCAAUAUAUUGACCACUUGUAGUACAAGUUGGAUAUAUGGUACACACCUAGGAAACUUGCCUUGCAAAUUAGACAUAUAUCCUACAAUUUGGACGUGUAUUAGAGGUCAUAUAGCAUAUCUCCAUAUAUUCCUUAAUUGAGUAGUAUAUAUAGAGGUAUGAGUGCGACCUUCUUUACUCUUGCCAAAUUUUUUUUUUGUUUUUUAGUCUAAUUUCAAGAAUCUUAUGUUUUCUAAUUUUUCGCAAUAGUCAUUUCAGUUCUUCCUUGAAUAUACAUAUUUUAUUUUUUUCACUUUCUUUUUGACACAAAUUCCAUGACUUUAUGCAUCUCCUUUUAGUUUGUAUCCUUAACAGCAUGUUGGAUUAUGUUUUUAUCAUGAUUUGACUCUUGUAUCACGUACUGACCCAAGAGCCAAUAAUGGUUAUCAAAUAUAUUAUCAAGAAGUUGUCAUAUUAUAAAUGCUUAUAAUAUGUAAAAAUUAAUUAAAAUAUAUUAUAUAUUGAUAAAUCUAAAUGUGUGGUAGAGUGGCUAGUAGAUUAAAUUAAAAAGAGUUGGUAUAAAAAACUUUACUUUGUUUCUUUACUUCUUUUGAUUUUGACAUUAAAAUAUAUACAUAUAUAUAUAUAUAUAUAUAUAUAUAUAUAGGACCUAAAUGUUUAGUAUGAAGCCUUGGGAGAAGGUAGAAACCUAAGGAUGAAAAUCUAAACUAGUAGGAGACUAAUUGGAAGGGAUGAAAGCAAGGCAUGGUCAGAUGAAGGCAAGGAAUGGGAAACAUCAUCCCUAUUGGUCGAAUACCAUGCCCAAUGGGCUUUGAGGAGGCUGCCCGCAACCUUAAGAAGGAUUUCAGUGACUUCAAAGAGAGCAUUCAGAGAUUACAAGCAAAUGUUGUAAAGUUUAGGAUUUGGAGUACAAUUUGUGUGCAAAAAUUAGAGGAUUUGGAGUUAGAGUGAAAAAUUAAUAGCCGUUUGAAGUUAAGGUGUUUAUUUAAGACAUACUAUUACUCUUUAGAGAGUACGAGGAGUUUUAUAGGAGCUUUUGAAGAUCGAAAGAUGUGAUUGAAAGUGCUAUUUCAAGGCCUACAUCUUUCAUAAAAAAUUAUUGCUUUUAGAAUUUAUAUGAAGGAGUUGUAAGGAGUUGAAGGCGGUGCUUCCAAAUCAAAAGCAGUAGGUAAGCGAGUUUAUUUGUAAUAAUGGUUGGAGCCAUAACUUGAGUUUUCAGACGAAUUUUUGGCUCAAAAUUUUUGGAGAAUGUAAAAUUUUUUAUUAAAAAGCUAUACAUAUAAAUUUCGUGGAAUUUGAGCUUAUAUUUUGUGAGAUAUGAAGAAAAUUGCACAUGGAUGUAUAAAGAUAAGGGUUUGAAGUGACUAUUAGGAUUUUCAAGAUAUCUCAAGAUUUACAACGAAAUUGCAAUUAAAAAUUGUUGUAAAAGUUAAUAAGAAUACAUCAGUACCUCAUGUAAAAUUUGAGUUUGUUUGGACGGUCGGAUUAGGAGAUAUGAGGUGUUGAAAUUCGGAAAAAUCUCCACAUAAGAAUAAACAAGGUUUUAGAAGAUUUUAUCAUAUUUUGGAAGUUGUGGAUUACUUGAAGAUUGUGUAUUUAGUGUAAUUACUCAAAAAGGAAAAAAUUAUAUAUAAACUUAGGGCUUUCUUUAUUUUCAAGCUUGAUUGAAUAAUUAGUGACAGCGAGAAGCCCAACAUUUUUCUUGAGGUAAACUCUCUCUACUCCGACAACGUUCCUACUUUGAACCAAAAAAAGGUGAGGUAGCAUAUGAUCAAUAACAGGAAACCUAGUUAAAGCUUGAGCAUUUUCAUCUUCAAACAAGUAAUAUAUCAAUACCUAUGAAUUUAUCAUUUCUUAAUUAGAUUUGUAAAGCCUCUACCAGGGAUCUUCUUAUUUUUAAUAACAAGCGUCUUGGCAACAACCUUCCUGAAGAGUCUUCUAGUUUCAAGAUUGAAGACAACCUCAAACUGAUGGCCAAACAGAGUUGGCCAUCUGAAUUUUUCAGCAAUAUUUGAGUUGCACCAUCAACUAUCAAUAAAACAAUUAGACUUCCUACUUAUCAUUGGCAGAGUUUGCAUAUAAUAACACAAUUCAUGUAUCUAUACAAUAAAUGUCAUUUUACUCAAAUUACAAUCAUCAUUUAAAGUUGGAUAUAAUAGAGCCUUCAAAAUCGGUAAAUUGAGCAGUAAAGAAGUUUGCUAUAAAUAUGGUUGAACUUCAAGCAAUCAUGAAGACUCACCUAGAAAGGGCUCAAUAACAUUAUAAGCUAGUGGCGGAUGAAUUGAAAAAGAAACAUCCUCCAUUCUAAGUUGGUAACAAAGUGUGGCUUCUUCGAUGUAAUAUAAAAACCAAUAUACUAUGUUAUAAGUUGGACUAUCAAAGAUUGGAACUAUUUGUGAUUCAGAAACAAAUCAAUAAUGUAACUUAUCGCUUGGAAUUACCUUCAUUCAUGAAGAUUCAUCUAGUCUCCCAUGUUUCACUUUUGAAAAAGUAUGAAGAAUCAAACAUACUAGAGCAGAGACAACCACCACUUCUUAUGGUUAAAAUCAAUGAUCAUGUUGAAUUUGAGGUAGAAAAAGUAUUAAAUUCAAGAAUAAGUCAUAGAAGGCUUGAAUAUUUAGUCUAUUGGUACUGAUAUGAUAUUAAUGAUUGCACAUGAGAACCAGUUGGUAACUUUGUAAAUGCACAAAUGAAGGUUCAAAAGUUCUAUCAACGACAUCUAUCUAGACUAAAAGCAGCAAAAUGAAGAAUAAUAGCUUAGUAAGAUGGCUUCACCAUGAAGAUUCUUAAUUCUUAGCCUCAUAAAGAAAGAAAGGAAGCAGCCUUUGAAAAGGCAGUUUUUUCAAAUAUUUAGAAUAAUAUAAGUCAAUAGUUCGAGUUCAUAAUCAUAGCCUGUUUAUAUUCUUUUGUCAUGAAUAUAUAUAUUUACCUCAAUAGUUACUUAUAUAAUUAAGUAGAAAUAAGUAAAUAUAGAAUAAUUUCAUAAAGUCUUCAAGAUAAGCUUCUUAGAAGCUUCAUAGAUGUGAUUUUGACUUUAGAUGUGUUUGUAGAUUAGAAACUUGGCCAAAAAGCUAACCAUGUAUUAGUAGCUUGUAGAACAAGUUAUCUUCGUGUAGUAGCUUGUGGAACAAGGCAACUACAUGGCACAUACAUAGAUAACUUAUCUUAUGAGAUAAGACAUGUGGCUAGCAAAAUCAACAUAUAUUGGAGGUCCUGUAGGACAUCGCUAAAUAGUUUUUAGUUAGAUGGUACAUAUGGAGGCAAGAGUGAAGCCUUCUUCAUUCUUGUCAACACCUUUUUAGACUUGGUCUUGUUUCAAGACUUUCUAAUCUUUUUUGGUUUUGACAAUAGCCAUUAUAGUUAAUAUUACAUCACCUUUUUGAGUGACUUUUUAGUUCUCUUCAGUGAUAGAAGAGUGUAUUGAAGAUUCUCUUUCUUUGAGAUUGAUGUCCUUGACAAUUUGACAAGAGUGCUAAUAUAUUUUUUUUUGUCUUCUUUUAGGAAUGAAUAGAUUAUUCCACUUCUAUUGUUAUAUGUUUGAAGGUUGCAGACUAACCACCUUUAAACAAAAAAUCUUAUUUUCUAACAUUGAUCUUUUCUUUAAAGAGAGUCGAUUACUCUCUUUGUAGGAUUUAUUUUUAGAGGUUGUGGAUUAUCUUCCUUUAAUUAAACUUUUGAAUUUAUUUGAGUUAUCUAUGGAAGGAAAGAUUAUGGAUGCUACUCUCAAUAGAAGUGAGAAUAGAUUUGCAACUAUGGCAGAUCUUCAUGAGCUUGUCAAAACUAUAAGAGUUGAAAUCUCAUGAAUUUCUAACGUGAAUCAUAGAAGUACUAUGCCUAUACAUAUAGAAGAAGUUUAAAGUCUAUGGCAAGAAGUUGUGCAAUUGAAAGAAGCAAGUAGAUCAAGAUUACAACCAAAUCUAGGGAGUUUUGCUUUUAUAAGUAUGGCAGGGAUAAGAAUUAGUAUGCCUGAGAAGUUUGAUAGAACAAGAUCAAAAUUUUGAAGAUUUUUGCAACAAGUCAAGCUUUACCUAAGGUUGCACUCUUUCAAAUAUCAUCAUGGAUUUAUCCAAGUCAGAUUCAAGGGUGCACUAUUAUCAAAAAGUGCUCUCUCUUCAUUUGUACCUUUAAUAGAAAAAGAUUCAUGUCUCUUUUAUCAUUUGAAUUCAUUCCUAGAAGUAUUUACGGCCACAUUUGGAGAAAGUGAUUAAGAACAAGUAGCACAGAUCAAGCUUUUAUCCUUAUGACAAGGAUCACGAUCAGCUACUACAUAUGCUGUCGAAUUCCAAAGCUUUGCUUGCAACGUGGACUAGAUGUCACAGACAUACUCAUGUAAGCUAGUAAUUACAUAUACAAAUAGGUGGAAGUAAGUAAAAGUAAGUAAAAGUAAGUUAAUUCUAUAGUAUUUAAUAUGAAAGCUUUUUAAAAGCUUCAAAGAUACUUCUUUGACUUCAUAGGUGUCUUUAAUUGACUUUUUGGAUUAGAAACGAGGUCAAUAAGUUGGCCAUGUGCCACACAUGUUGUUAGCUUAGAGAUCAAGCUAACUAUGUAGCUCAUACGUAGAAAAACUUACCUUGUAACUCAAGGCAUGUGUCCUACAAAGUCAACACAUAUUGGAGGUCCUAUAGAACAUUGCCACAUAGCUCCUAAUUAGAUAGUAUAUAUAGAGACAAGCGUGAAGCCUUCUUCACUCUUGUCAACUCUUUUCUUGCUUCCAAUCUAGUUUCAAAGGUCUCUAGUUUUCUUGUCUUUUGGCAAUAGCCAUUCUAAUUUCUCAUUCAAUAUACAUACUUAUUUAAUUAUAUUUUAUUACCUUUCUUUGAGUGAAAGCUCACUUAUCUAAAUUGCUUUUUCAUCGAGUUCUUGUCCUUGGCAGAUUGAUAAGAAUACACCUAUAAUAUCAGAGCUUUGUCUAAUCUUGAUUAAGAGUAGAUUACCCCUUUUUUUUGAUAAGAUAUAAGCAUAUUAGAAGUUGCGGAUUACCUUCUUUUAAAUUGAUAUUGUCCUUAGUAUUUUCUUUGUUCUUAAGUCCUCUCUUCUAUUUGUCUUUAGUGAUAUUAAACAUCUUCUCUUUUCUAAGUGUUAUCAUGACAGAACUUGUUGAAAUGAAGAAUGCUAUCGCACAAAUACAAGAGUAAUUGAGGGAGUUAAUGCUUGCAAUGCAUGAACUCAAUUUACCACCACAAGGAGCAACAAGAUUGGCAGAAAGUAAAGAUAUAGAAAUGGUUGGAGCUGCUUCAACAUCUGCACCAAACCAUGUCUUUUUUCCUAUGGUGGAACGCCCUUCAAAUAUUACAGAAUCAAGAAUUGUCCUACCCGAGAAGUUUGAUGGCACUAGAUCCAAGUUUCGAGGAUUUAUCAAUCAAGUGCAACUUGUGAUUGAACUUCAACUCCAAAGCUAUCCAACUCCAGGAUAGCAAGUUAGAUUCAUUGGUAUGCUUCUUUCAGGUUCAGUACUAUCGUGGUUUUCUUCUUUUCUUGAACAACGAGAUCCAAUAUUACUUAAUAUAGAGGCUUUUUUGGCAGAGUUUCGAUCCAUGUAUGGAGAAUAUGAUGCAAUUUGUGUUGCAACCAAUAAGAUCCAUAUUUUACGACAAGGUAAUCGAUCGGUAAUGUUGUAUGCUACACAAUUUUGAUAACUUGCAACUGAUAUCAAGUGGGAUGAUGCUGCACUUAUUAGCCAAUUUCUCUAUGGAUUACAAUAUGAGGUAAAAAAAUUAAUGCUCAACUUACCUGAUCCUCAAACAUUGAGUCAAGCAAUUGACUUUGCUGUGAAGUUUGACAAUCGCCUUUUUGAAUUCUGAUCUGAGAACUGAUCUCAACGUUACUACAAUUCAAUGGCAAUACCAACACCUCUUCAACACAUACAUUCGGAAGUAGAGGAUAUGCAAAUUGAUGCAGUAUGUUUCAAACCUCUUAUUGAGCAAGAAAAGACUUGUCGUCAUCAAGAAGGAUUAUGUUUAUAUUGUGGAGAACCAAAGCACACUACUCAACACUGUCCAAAGAAAUGACGCAAUCACAAAAUGUGGAGUACAGUUGUGAAAGAAGACAAUAUGUCGGAAAACGAGUUUGUCCAACUAUAAUAGGGACCGUGUGGCUGGAACCUUAUACAACAUCCAGUAAAGGUCUUAUUCUCUCAUCGAAGUCCUCUCCUUGUUUUACAUUAAAUGUUAUUUUAGGACUUAAACAUUACAAAGUCUUUACCUUGUUAGAUUCAGGAGCCUCAGCAUGUUUUUUGGAUGAAGAAUUUACUAAAAGACAUAGCAUAUCUUUAGUAAAGAAAACUAAAUCUCUUCAUGUAGAAGUCAUAGAUGGUCGUCCAUUAUCUUCUGGAGAUAUUACUCACAAAUUCUUUCUUAUAGAAGUAAUAAUCAAUGGUCAUAAUAGUUUUGUAGUAUUUAAUAUCAUUAGAUCUCCCUCUAAUCUAGUCAUUUUAGGUUUAUCUUCUUAUAGAAAAAUACAACCCUCAAAUAGAUUGGAUUUUCCAAACUCUUACUUUCUCUAAAAGUAUAACUAACAAUGAAGUUAAUCAAGUAGAGAGUCAAAAGUCCAGUUCAAUUAAACCCGUAUUUAUAGGUGCAAAAGCUUUCUUGCAUGCUACUAUGAAAGAAUCACCAUAUAUUAUUUAUGCCACACUUCUUUCUACUGGUGAAAAGACUUCAAGUGGCAUUCCAAGCCAAUAUCAAGAAUUUCAAGAUGUAUUCAAAAAAAAGAAUGCGAAUACACUCCUGGAAUAUCGUCCCUAUGAUUACUCAAUUAACCUUCAAGAAGGAGCACAACCGCCAUUCGCACCAUUCUACAGUUUAUCACAAAAUGAGUUGACUAAACUCAAGGAGUAUAUUGAAGAAAAUCUAGCCAAGAAUUUCAUACGCCAUUCUAAAUCUCCAGCAGGAGCUCCAAUUCUAUUUGUGAAGAAAAAAGAUGGAUCAUUGCGGAUGUAUGUUGAUUAUCGAGGACUCAACAAGAUUACCAUCAAAAAUAGGUAUCCACUAUCUUUAAUAUCUGAACUUCUUGAUCAGUUGAAUCAAGCUAAGAUCUAUACAAAAAUAGAUCUUCAGGAAGCAUACAAUCUAGUACACAUCAAAGAAUGAGAUAAAUAGAAGACUACAUUUUGAACUAGGUAUGGACAUUUUGAAUACAACGUCAUGCCUUUUGGACUUACAAAUAUACCAGCAGCUUUUCAACAUCUAAUGAAUGAUAUUUUUUGAGAGUUUUUGGACGAUUUUGUGGUCUGUUAUCUAGACGACAUCUUGAUCUAUUCUAAGAAUUUAGAAGAACAUGAACUUCAUGUUCGUUAUGUGUUACAAAAAUUAAGAGAUGCAAGAUUCUAUGCCAAGAUAGAAAAGUGUGUAUUCUACACUACUCAAGUCAAUUUCUUAGGUUACAUCAUUUCAAAUGAUGUACUUAUGAUAGAUCCUAAGAAAGUUCAAACUAUUAUAGAUUGGAAGAUCCUAAAAAUGAUAAGAGAUGUCCAAUAUUUUUUGAGAUUCGCCAACUACUAUCAGAUCUUCAUCAAAGAUUUUUCUCGAGUUGUAGCUCCACUUACACAUUUGACUUAUAAAGACAAACUCCAAUGGAAUCAAGAAGUGGAAGUUACUUUUGAAUCUUUGAAGACAACGUUUGUUUCUACACCAAUCUUGUAUCUUAUUGAUUUUUCCAAAGUAUUCUUUAUGUAAACAGAUGCAUGAGACUUUGCUCUGGGUGUAGUUUUAUCACAAGUAGGAACACAUGACAAACUUCAUCCAGUAGCGUUUCAUUCAAGAAAAUUCUCAGCAACAAAAAUCAAUUAUGAGAUCUACAGUAAAGAACUUCUUGUAAUUAUGGAUUCUUUUCAAGAAUGGCAUCAAUAUCUAAAAGACGCUUCUAGUAAAGUCACCGUGUAUACGGAUCAUAAGAACCUCAAACAUUUUAUGUCAACACGUGUAUUAUAUCAUCGUCAAGCUUGUUGGAGCAUGUCUUUAUCAAGAUUCGAGUUCAUCAUCACUUAUCAGCCAGAAAAACAACAAGGAUUAUCCGAUGCCUUAUCUAGAUAUUUUUAUCUUACACCAAAAGAAAGAGAUGCAGCUUUUGAGCAACAAGGAAUGGUUCUCUUGAAGCCGGAGUAAUUUCAUCUUCGAGCAAUAAAAUCAACAUUGACUAUUGAUUUAACUUUUCUUAAAUAAGUCCAGUUAAGUAUGUCUUCAGACCUUCUUGUUUAUGAUAUCAAGAAUAAUUCUUCUAAAUUUCAUGAUCCCUCUAAAUUUGAAUUCAAGAACAACCUAUUCUAUUUCGAAGGAUGCCUAUAUGUUCCAGAAGGAAAAGCACGUUUACGUAUUCUUCAAGCUCGUCACGACUUCUCAGCGGUACAACAUUUUGGAUAUAAUAAGGCUUUGGAGCUGAUAUCUAGGGAUUUUUGGUGGCCUCAAAUGUGGAAGGCAGUCAAAGAUUUUGUACAAUCAUGUGAUGUUUGCUCAAGAUCAAACACUCCUCGUCAUCGACCAUUUGGACUUCUUCAGCCAUUGCCAUUUCCAGAACAACCAUGGUCUUUUGUUUCUAUGGACUUCAUCACAGAUCUUUCAAUCUCAAGUUCUUAUAAUUCUAUAUUCGUGAUAGUAGAUCGUUUUAUUAAGAUGGCACAUUUUGUACCAUGUACAAAAUCUAUCACAGGUGAAGAAACAACUAAGCUCUUUCUUGACAAUAUCUAUCGCUAUCAUAGAUUAUCGAAAGAUAUUAUAUCAGAUAAGGGAAUUUAAUUUGUAUCAAGAUUUUGGCAGACUCUUUUUAAGAUUCUAAAAGUGCAUAUAAACUAUCUUCCGCAUUCCAUCCUCAAACUGAUGGAUAAACGGAGCGUGUUAAUCAAGUUUUGGAGUAAUAUUUAAGAUGUACCAUUAACUACCAACAAGAUGAUUGGACAACUCUUUUGCCAUUGAUAGAGUUUGCUUACAAUAACAUGAUAUAUUCUUCUACAAAACAAACACCUUUCUUUGCUAAUUAUGGUUAUCAUCCACGACUUGAUACUUUUGACUUUUCAAAAGUUGAUAAUCCUGAUGCAAAAGAUUUGGCGAUUCAUUUAUUAGAGCUACAUGCAAUGAUGAAGGCGCAGUUAAAAGAGGCUCAAGAACAACAAAAGAUCAAUGCGGAUAUCUAUCAAAAGGAACAACUACCAUUCCUCUUGGGUGAUAAGGUAUGGCUAUUUUUUCGCAAUAUCAAGACCACUCGUCCUUGUGAUAAGUUGAACUAUCGAAUGUCGGAACCAUUUUUUAUUUCUAUAGAAAUCAAUCCAGUUGCAUAUCGUUUACAUCUAUCAGAAUCAAUGAAAAUCCAUCCAAUAUUCCACGUGUGUCUUCUUAAACCAUAUAAGAUAGUGGACAUAUCAAGAAGACGACAAGCUCCACCUCCUCCUAUAGAAGUGGACAAUAAUGAAGAGUUUGAAGUAGAAGAAGUCUUAGAUUCAAGGCGACGCCAAAAUAAAUUAAAAUGUCUUGUCCAUUGGCGCGGAUAUGAUAUUAGUGAAUGCACAUGAAAGCCAAUAAAGAAUCUUGCAAAUGAAGCAAAGGUGGUGGAGGCUUUUCAUUGAUGACAUCCAUCAAAAUCAAGAUGAAAAUCUUUUUUAUAAAAGAAACAACAUCUAGGCAAGAUAACAUUCUACUUUCAAUCCUUGUUUGUAGCUUCUUUAUAGUUGUGACACUCAAGAGAUGGAGAACCAACAACUAGCGGAUUUGACUCAAGAGCCUUCAUUAGCUGAACUACCGGAUGAGACAUUAUGAUUGUCACAACCUUCAAGAUGAUGUAAUCGACAUGAAGAUCUUCAAGAACGACAUGUUCUUCCUUGAAUAGAUGGCGAGAUACAACGCGUUUGGUAUCACGAUUUGAGAAGGGACUCCCAAUGUUUGGUGAUUUUACUAGAGGUAGGAACAACUCUUGAUGGUGUUCCAAAUGUUCUAUUCGAAGGAAGUUAUGAAGGCCUCAACAAUGAUCAAAUAACUGGAUGGUCUUUCUGCCCUUGUAUGGGAAUCUACCGAUGGUUGAGAGGCCCUAUCAAUCCUCUUCGAAGAAAACAAAGAUCAGAGUAUAUAGCAAAUACAAUUUGUCGCAUCAUAGAUUUUUUCAACAUAUGAUGACCGAUCCUCAUGGAACUCGUCCCUAGAAGGGGUGAUAAUGUCACGGACAUACUCAUGUAAGCUAGUAAUUACAUAUACAAAUAGGUGGAAGUAAGUAAAAGUAGGUAAAAGUAAGUUAAUUCUAUAGUAUUUAAUAUGAAAGCUUCCUAGAAGCUUUAUAGACACUGCUUUGACUUCAUAGGUGUCUUUAAUUGACUUUUUGGAUUAGAAACGUGGUCAACAAGUUGGCCAUGUGCCGCACAUGUUGUUAGCUUGAAGAUCAAGCUAACUAUAUGGCCCACAUGUAGAAAAAAUUAUCUUGUAACUCAAGGCAUAUGUCCUACAAAGUCAACGCAUAUUGGAGGUCACCACUCAAUAUUGUCAAAAGAAGCAACCCAAUUACAAAAUGAAGAGCACAAUUACCAAAGAAGAUAAUGUAUCAAAAAACGAGUUUCUCCGGCUAUAAUAGGGAUCGUGCAGGUGGAAUCAUAUACAAUACCUAGUAAAGGUCCUAACUUCUCUUUAGACUCCUCACAUUGUUUUAUAAUAGAAGUAUAUUUUGAACCUAAUAAUCACAAAGUCUUUACCUUGUUAGAUUCAGGAGCCUCAGUUUGUUUUAUAGAUGAAGAUUUUGCCAAAAAUCAAAAAACAUCUUUAGUGAAGAAAGUUAAAUCCAUACAUAAAGAAGUCAUAGAUGAUUGUUUGUUGUCUUCUUGAAAUGUUAUCCAUGAAACUAUUCUUUUAGAUAUAGCAAUUAAAGAUCAUAAUAAUAUAGUAGUAUUUAAUGUAAUAAAAUCUCCCUCUAAUCUGGUUAUUUUAAGAUUAUCAUGGCUAGAAAAAUAUAACCCUCAAAUAGAUUGGAUUUUUCAUAACCUUAACUUUUUUGAUAGUAUAAUCCAAAAUCGCAUUGGCAAAGUAGAAGUAGAUAAGUCCAGUACGUCCAAACCUUUACUACUAGGUGCAAAAGCUUUCAUGUAUGCUGCAAAAGAAGGAUCAUCUUUUGCUUUAUAUGCUACAUCCAUCUCUAAUAGUGAAACAACAUUGAGUGGUAUUCCUAAGCAAUAUCAAGAAUUUCAAGACAUUUUUGAAAAGAAGAAUGUAGAUAUUCUCUCCGAGCAUCGACUUUAUGAUUAUUCAAUUGAUCUACAAGAAGAAGCUCAACCACCAUUCAGACCAAUCUAUAGCUUAUCACAAAAUUAGUUGGCUGCAUUAAAGGAGUACAUUGAUGAGCAUUUAGUAAAGAACUUCAUACACCAUUCUAAAUCUCGAGCCAGGGCUCCUAUCUUAUUUGUAAAGAAAAAAGACAUAUCUCUGCAAAUGUGUGUGGAUUAUCAAGGACUCAAUAAGAUCACCAUCAAAAAUAGGUAUCUUUUGCCAUUGAUUUUAGGACUUCUUGACCAACUCAAUCAAGCAAAGAUCUAUACCAAAAUAGAUCUACGAAGAGCAUAUAAUUUAGUUCGUAUCAAAGAAGGAGAUGAAUGGAAGACUUCUUUUUGAAUUAGGUAUGAAUAUUUUGAAUAUAAGUCAUGCCUUUUGGAUUCACAAAUGCAACGGCCACUUUUCAACAUCUUAUGAAUGAUGUUUUUUAUAAGUUUUUAGAUGAUUUCGUUGUUUGCUAUUUAGAUGACAUUAUAAUUUACUCUAAGAACACAGAAGAACAUGAGCUUCAUGUUCAUCGUGUAUUACAGAAACUUAGAGAUGCAAGAUUAUAUGCCAAGUUAGAAAAGUGUUUAUUCCAUAUUACUCAAGUUGACUUUUUAGGAUACAUCAUUUUCAACAAAGGCCUUAUGAUGGAUCCCAAGAAGAUUCAAACUAUCAUAGAUUAGUAGAUUCCAAGAGUAGUAUGAGAUGUAUAGUAUUUUUUGAGCUUUGUUAAUUACUAUCAAAUCUUUAUCAAGAAUUUUCUCAAGUUAUAACUCCAUUUAUACGUUUGACUUAUAAAGAUAAACUUGAGUGGAAUAAAGAAGCAGAAGCAUCAUUUGAUGCUUUAAAGAAAGAAUUUAUUUUUACACCAAUGUUAUAUUGCUUUGACUUUUCUAAGGUAUUUUUUAUGAAAACAAAUGCAUCAAAUUUUGUUAUAGAUGCCAUGUUGUCAUAAAUAGAAAUAGCUGACAAACUCUAUCCAAUAGCUUUCUAUUUGAAGAAAUUUUUAGCAAUCAAGAAUAAUUAUGAGAUCCAUGAUAAAGAGCUCUUUGCAAUCAUGGAUUCAUUUCAAGAAUAGCAUCAUUAUUUAGAAAGCACUUUAAGUCUAGUUACAAUAUAUACAAACUAUAAGAACCUCGAGUACUUCAUGUCAGCACAUGUCCUGAAUCGUCAUCAAGUCCGUUGGAGCAUGUCUUUAUCUAUAUUCAAUUUCAUGAUCACUUAUUGACGCAAAAAACAACAAGGUCUAUUGGACACUCUUUCUAGACGUUCUUAUCUUGUACUAAAGGAAGGAGAUGCAUCUUUUAAUCAACAAAGAUCAAUUCUCUUAAAGCUUGAGCAUUUUCAUCUUUGAGCAAUAAAAUCAACAUUGACUAUUGAUUCAAUAUUUGUGAAGCAAAUUCAAGCAAGCAUGUCCUCUGAUCCUCUUAUUCAAGAUAUAAAGGAUACUUCCUCUAAGUCUCAUUAUAUUUCUAAGUGUGAAUUCAAAAAUAAUCUAUUAUAUUUUGAAAGAUACCUAUAUGUUCCAAAAGGUCAAGCUCAAUUACGUGUUCUUCAAGUUUGUCAUGACUUUCUAGUAGUACGACAUUUUGGAUACAAUAAAACUUUAAAACUAAUAUCCAAGGAUUUUUGGUGACCACAAAUGUGGAAGGUAGUCAAAGAUUUUGUACAAUCUUGUGAUGUUUGUUCAAGAUCAAAACUCCUCGUCAUCGACCUUAUAAACUUCUUUAGCCGUUAUCCAUUCCAGAACAACCAUGGUCUUCUGUUUCUAUAGAUUUCAUCAUGGAUCUUCCAAUCUUAGGUUCUUAUGACUCUAUAUUCGUGAUAGUAGAUCAUUUUAUCAAAAUGGCACAUUUUCUACUAUGUACAAAAUCUAUCAUAGGUGAAGAAACAGCUAAGCUUUUUAUUGACAAUAUCUAUUGUUAUCAUGGAUUAUCAAAAGAUAUUAUAUCGGAUAGGGGGACUCAAUUUGUAUCAAUACUUUGGAGAAUCCUAUUCAAGAUUCUAAAGGUGGAUGUAAAGCUUUCUUCAACUUUUCAUCCUCAAACUAAUAGACAAACAGAACAAUAUGAAGAUACAAUUAAAAGAAGCUUAAGAACAACAAAAUACUGACACAAAUGCCUAUCGCAAGGAGUAACUACAAUAUAAUAUGGAUGACAAGGUAUGCAGCCUCCACAAAGCCCAUUGGUCAUGAUUUUUGACCAAUAGGAAUGGAGAUUUUCAACAUCCAUAUCCAUUCAUCUCUAUUGGUGCCUAAAUACUUCCAUUGCUAUCAAAAUCCUUCUUCAAUCUUUUUUCUUAUAAGAUUUAUAUAAUUUAUGCUCUAAACACCAAAUAAAAGAAUCAAAAUAAGUUUUUAAAGGUCACCAAUAUCUAACAAAGGUGACUCUAAAUAUUUAGAAGUUACUAUCAAUCAAAAUCAAUCUUAAAAGCCACUAUCAAAAAAAAAUUAAAGUUAUACAAAUUUUAUAGUAAUCUUUUUAAACAACCUCUUCUCAAAGUAAUAAUCAAAUUAUAUUCUACAACCAAUUAAAAUCUACUAACAUAGCUCUCACCAUGUUACUUAAUAAAUUAUAUAUUAAUUACAUAAUUACAUUAUUUUCAUAUAGUAGCCGAACCACAACACGACAACGUGUCUCUUCUCAAGCCGUACAAGAUAGUGAAAAUCUUGGAAAGAAGAUAAAUGCCACCUCUUCCUAUAGAACUGGAUAAUAACCAAGAAUUUGAGGUGGAAGAAGUCUUAGACUCAAGGUGGCACCAAAAUAGGUUGGAAUAUCUUGUUCAUUAGCGCAGUGUCAUAUUACGUGAAGUCUUGCUUGAGAAUGCACCAGGCACCUAGUUGUAGAAGGUAAAAGAAAAUUAUAACAAAAGCUCCUAACAAUCCAAUAGGAUUAUAGAGAAAUUACAAUUAAACAUUAAUAAUCAUAAUCAAACCUUAAGCAAGCUCAAUUAAAUUAUAUUGAAGUUAUAAAAAAAACACAAAGAAAUCUUAAAGAAAUAUAAAAGAAUAUUAAAGAAAACUUAGUCAAAUUCUAAUAAAAAUCUGAAUAAACCUUAAAUUCCAACCAAAUCCUAAUCCUAAUCUAACCUUAAUCAAAUCCUAGACAAAUCCUAAAUCCUAAACAUACCCUAGUCAAAUCUUAGAUAAAUCCUAACCCUAACAAAUCCUAAUGAAUUCCAAAUCCUAAACAAACCUUAGUCAAAUCCUAAAAAAAUCUUAGUCAAACCCUAGUCAAAUCCUAACUCUAAACCCUAACCAAAUCCUAAAUUCUAAAUCAAAUCCUAACCAAACCCUAAUCCUAAUCCUUAAUCAAAUUCUAAUCCAAAUCAAAUCCUAAUCACAGAUUUGAAAUUUAAAUAACUAAAGAUUGAACCGUUGAUUCUAAUUCAAAAUUUUCA